AUGCUACUAGGAAGUGGCUGUCUCAGGUUGGCAUAGGCUUGAAAGAAUGUAGGAAUAUAAAUAAUGCAUAAAAUAUGCAAAUUUAUUGCAGGAAGUAAUGUUGGUAUUGACACAUUAUUUUGGACAUAAAUGAUAGUAGAAUUAUAAAGGUUGGAAGCAUCUUUGGUUAGUAAGGACUAACUUUUCAUCUCGUAGCUCCAUUAUGGUUUAGAUAUGGCAUUGUGCUGAAUUUAAAGGUUGAGUUUACUUAGAAACUCAUGUUCUGUACUUGUUCCAAAGCUUUUGAUCAUGAAGCUACUACAUGCCCUACAUGAUUGAUAUGGUAGGGAGAAGAAAAAGAGACCAACUAUGGCUGAUGCCAUUAGCUUUAGGCUGAUUGCAUAGCAUGAAUUUAAGUGCUAGUUGGCAUGGCAUGCAUGAUAGGCACUAUAAGAUGCCUUACUGGCAAGUGGUACUGGCAUGAUACUGGCUGCAUGCCAGUCUUUGUCAUGAAACUGUUCUGGUGCAUGCCAAGUAUUGGCACGGCUUGGUAUGGAACUGCGGAUCCAUACAUUUGAGAGACAUAUUUCUUAUGAUUUUUCCAAAAAAAUUAGUAGUUUUAUUGCUAUGGGAUGCCAAUUUUAUCAGUUAGCAAGGAAAAAACAUAUGUUUAUGUUAAUGCUUUAGGUGGGCUAGAUAAGAAAGGUCUUUUAUUUCUGAUUGACAAAGAUAAUAGUGGCGUUGACUAGCUUUUAUUGAUAUGGAAUGGUUAGAAAGGUUGGAACUAGGAAAUAUAUGACCAUAAUGCAUCAUUACCCUAAAGAGUUGCUUCGAAUGAAAGCUAUAGCAUAUCCAUCAAGCCUUAUGUUGAAUUGUUUGAGGUUGGCUUUGUACUUGCUUACCAAUCAUUCCUAUUCAGGGAUAUGCCUAGGGCUGCUAUCAAGCCAAGCCAAGCUUCUAGCAUAUAGUUAUUAUUGUGAGCACACUAUGGUUCAUGGUUAACUCAUUUGUUGCAAAGCUUUAGAAUUUGGCUUGAUCCUAGCUUGUUUUCUAACUGAAUGAACUUGAAUCAGCUGCUAAAUGAGCCAAUCUCAAGUUAUUCAUGGACGGCUCUCUUCAUGCAUGGCUUUAGAUACAACUGCUGUCAUUUUGUGCUUUAGCAGAUCCUUUUUCGCAACUUCAAUUCAUGUGAUCUAAAACAUUCCCCUCCUCUUACUUUUUAAUAUAAGUUUACUUCUUUGGAACUUCCUUAUGACCAUGUUACCUAUUCACUUUGGGUUGAUGCAAUCUAGGAAUCAUAAAGAGUAUUAAACUUCAAUCUCCAAACAGCUGACAGACUUUGACAGAAUACAUUCAUUUUAAACAUAAGAAUUUCAUAUUACUUUAAAUUGAUUGGUUUUUAGUGAUUCGUAUUGGAAAACCUGCCUUUCAUUCUAUGGUAUGUUGGAAAAAAGUGUAACUCCUCACUGAAGUGUCUAAAAACACCCUUUAGGCCGAUGUGUUUUUAGUACUUAAAAGUAAUGAGACUUGAAUCUCAUGACCUGCGCUGUAAAGAAUCUUUUUAAAGAUACUUAAGAAGGGUGUGGGUGUGUUACUCACAGUGUGUAAGUAAAAUACUUUACACCAUCACCAAAUUCAAUGUUAGGGGUUGGAAAAGAAAACUCUAAACCAGUGGAUGUGAUCUAAGAGGUCUAAAAUGUCUACAUACAAAAAUCAUAUAAUCUGGAAAUCUCUAACCUAUCAAAGUCAUCCCAAAUAUAUAGUUGUAAUGAAACGAUAUAGAGCAUUAAUUUUGGGAUGACCUGAUGCAUAGGCUACUAGUCUCCAAAGCAUAUGAUUUUUUGUAAGUAGAUAUUCUAGGCCUUCUAAAUUACAUCCAACGGUUUAAAGUUCCUUUUUUUUCAACUACUAUAAUUUAAUCUAGUGGUGGGUGUAAAGUUUUUUCUUCACACCCUGCAUGUAUUAUAACUUUACCCUGCUAAGAAUGCCAAAAUAAACAUUGACACUUAUGGCUAAUGUAACAACCAUAUUAAAGUAAAAAAAGUCACUUGGCUAUGUCAUAUCUUGUUCAAAUGCCCAACUUGUUAGCAAAACUCCGAAAAGCUAGUUUAAUGAUCUUCUCUAGACAAUCUCUACGUUUCAAAACUGCACUGCUUUGUAGUGCAUACAACUAUACAGUCGCAGACUAUACAAUCAAAGACGUAGCUAUAUGGUUAUCCAACUGAUUGGAUGUCUGACAUUUUUUUGGUAGAUAUUGGAUGUCCGACAUUACCCACUGUAGCCUGGCUGUGAUUAUCAUGUUGGUAGUUUAUCAUAGUUUGUGGCUGCAUGAUAAGUGCUAUGGAAUUUGGUGAAAUCCUGUUAUUGCAAGUAAAGAGGAGUACAAUCCACUAGAUGCCUAGAGAAAUUCUGCCAGAAGGGGAAACAAAACACACAUAAAUGGUCUAAAUCUUCAUUGUUUUUCAGGAUCUUCAUUGCUGGUUCCUUUAAACUGACCAAAAAGGAACUGGAUGCAACAGUUUUCCAGUAAUUUAGUUUAGUCAGAAAAAAAAUUAAGAAUCAUAAUGAAGUAAUAUUAUGAUAGCCUAUUCCUGAGCACAUCCAAACAAUACCAACCUCCUAUGUUGAGGACAAGUCUUGGUGGUCAAGAUCAUUCUUUUAAACAUAUCUGAGCUCUCGAAUAAAGUUGAAUAGUUGGUAUUCUAUCAAGGACAUGGUCACACUAUGCUUGUUAGGUAUCAAAACCUGGUUUCCUUCUUUCCUGAUAGGAAGUUGUCUUUGACCUUGAAGAGGUUCAUUUCUCGACACACAUGCAGACAGACACAUAAAAGAUUUCUCAGUUGUAUAAUUCUUGAACUUCACAUACUUUUCAGCUCUAUGGUCACACUCAUGACACUCAAAGUUACCAGCUUUAGUGAGAUAAUUUGGAUAAUUUGAUCAUUUUUGGAUGCCUUCUCUUGGAAUUCAGGUGGUAAAUGGCUUCUUUUGGGCAGGAAAUCUGGUCCCAUCUCUUGACCGCAGGCCUGAACAUUCAACUGCUUUAGGCGUGAGUUGUAUUAUGUUCCACUUAAUCAUCUCAUCUGCAUCACAACCUUGACUAUUUCACUGUAAGUAGUCAGUAGGAUAUUUCUUUUGAUUAAACUCUUCUUUUGCAGCUCAUUCCUCUUGGGACUGGUUCAGAUUUUGCUAGGACAUUUGGCUGGUCUGCUUUCCUUCCAUAUCUGCCAUAUCUAUGACAGUUGUAUAUUGGUUUUUUGCUGUUAUUAACUGUUGACAAUUCCUGUGUGGUUUGUUUAAUCAGGAAAAAUGAUCCGUAUGAAGCGGUAGAACGGAUCGUGAGAGGUUCCUCCACUUAUGCUACUUCUUUUAGGUUUAAUGUUUGAUUAAUUUUCUAUAGCCACUGCACUCUCAUUUUUUAAUGAAAUGUUUUUUUUCUUAUUUUAUGUAUAUAUAUGCAAUUACCAAAGAUAAAACUUGACUUUAUCAAGGCCAUGGACAUUACUUAGCAGCUUUAUCCCCAUAUAGAUAUAUAUACAUAUAUUUUAUGUCAAGUUGACUUAGUGAAAAGAGAUUUAAGAUUUCAAAAAGCAAAAGACAACCUAGACAUGUACUUUCUUUCUUUGCUCACUAGUAGCAACUAAAUGGUUCAUAUUAUGGUUUCUUAGUCAAACAUUGACUUGUAUGCGUUAGAAGACUAACUUAGCUAUUGCACGUCCCCCGUAAUAAAACCUACAUACGCUUUGAUUAUCUUUCUGGUGUAACUUUUAUAUUCUUAUUCUUAAGAGAGACUAGGUAUUAAUCUAAAGUUAUGCAAUUUAAAAAUCAUCAGGCUUCAAUAUAAUGUAACAAUAGUAUCGAUGUUGUAUAUCAAAGUUGGUGUAGUAGACUAAAACAAACUGAACUCGAGUUUCUUUUCAUCUUGCAUACUCACGGCAGACAUCAAUUAUGCAGGAUUUAAAUCAAAACUAGAUGUUGGCAUUAUUACUGGACAAAGUGGAGAGCAACAUUUCUUCAUUAAUGUUGCUGAUAUUCACUUGUAAGAACAUAAGGUUAAUUCACAAAGUAUUUGAUUAGAUAAAUUUUUUGAUAAAAAAAUAAUUAUAUUUCUUGAGCUUCUCUGCAGGAGUGCAAAAGCAGGUUAUUAUGCUUCUAAGUUUAAAAGAUUUGGAAAUCUGUGUUAUGUUUUUGGGGCUUUGAGAGCAUUCAUUGGACACACUAACUGGGACCUAAAAGUCAAGGUCAGUAUUAAUCUGAAAUACAUUGUCAAAUUCAUUAUGCUAUUUGUGCAUGAUGACUUGCUAUCUACAUGGAUCAGCAAUUUUACAGACUACAACAUGCUAUACUAUAGGUAAAUGGAGGAGAGUGGGAAGUAUUUCAUAAAGUCACCGCCCUUUGCAUAGGAAAUGCCAAAUUCUUUGGUGGUGGCAUGAAGAUAACACCAACAGCUGAUCCUUCCAGUGGAAACUUAGAGGUGCUUCAAUUUUGCGAUGGUGGCGUAUUCAUCUUGGACUUGAUUAUAAGGCAUAGGUUAACUGGAUUAAUGUUUCAUGUUUUAGGUGGUGAUUCUUCAAGACUUCAAAUGGUAUGAUUUUGUUCUUAAACUGCAUAAAUUGUACAAGGGAACACAUCUAUCAGAGAGAAAUGUUUCUUCAAGAAGGUAAGUUUUUCACAUGAACUCUUGUCUUGUAUUGCAUGAUUUGCAGUGAAGUACUUUUUCUCUACUUGAUAAUAUUUCUUCUGAGACUUUAUUUGUUGUUAUGGUUGACAAUCAUAUCUAUAUAUCUGUAGUUCCCAACUUCAGCUUGUCUUUUAUCACCUUGACAACAUUAACAUGUUUUGAUCUCAGAGUUCAUAAGAAUAUGAGAGAAAGAGUUCUUUCUAUUGAAAAUGCACCUACAGCAACCUAUGCAUGGGAAUAUAGUUUAUUCUCAUUAAAUUUUAUUUAUUCAUUGGCAACUCCUGUAAAGUAGUGAGUAUACAUAAAAUUCUCCUGAUUUAAAAAGAUAUUCUUCAUAGUGAUUUAUCAACUUUGACAAAUAUGGGUUUCUUUUAAAUAAUGUUCUGAGGUCUAUUUUUAUUUAUUCUAAAUAAUGACAAAUAUUUGUUUCUUCUAUUUUAUUUCUACUGACAAAUAUUGACUUGCUAGUUAUAUAGGCCUCGUUUGGUAUUCUUCUUCUGUUUUUCAGUAUUGAGAGGAAACAUGAGGCAGAAAAAAUGUUUGGUAUUCAUUUUUAUUAUCCAUAGAUUUCUAGAUUUUUUAGAAUGGAAAUUUUUAAAGUAAACAAGAAAACAUCAAGCUGUUGCCACUAUCUUGGCCACUGCCACAUCCCUAUACGCCUAUCAUGCCUCCAGUAUUGCCACAACCACCAUCACCACCAUUACCACCACCACCAUAGUCUUGUUAUUAACACCACCACUUGUUCACCAUCUCCACUAUGACAGUCACCAGCAAUCACUGAUAUCCACCACUAACACAUGCUUCUGUGAUCACCAUCAUUCAGCCACCACCAGCAUUGCCACUAUCACACUAGCUCUUUGCGGUCAUCACUGCCACUGCCACCACUCCUGCAAUAGCCAUCAGGUACUUCCUCAACUAAUGUUGCCACAAAGAAAACAAAAUGAUGCAACAUUAGUAUUCUGAGAUGUAUCCAAGUCUUUAAAUCAGUAAAUGAGAAAAAAGAGUUGUGGCUUAUGUUAUAUUUUAAAUAAAGUAUAAAUUCAAUUUUUAAAAAUAUUUUAUAAUGGACAACAAUUAGAAGUAUUGCUUGUUAAGGUGUUUUAGUAUAUGGUAUUUCACAAAAUUAUUUUUAUUGGAUGCAUCUUGAGCUCUAAAAGUAGUAAAAUCUUACUUCCAAUGCAAUUGUGGGGGGUUGAACUCAUUGCUUGAAAGACCAACCUAUAUAUCACUAAAAGCUACUAAAACCUACAAUGCAGGAAUUUGGUCAGUAUCCAAAAUUCUGAGACAUUUGACUCAUGGAUAUGUAUUUGACCUGGACUGAUCUAGUGGAUCUAGAAUCCAGGUAACAUUGAUAAGAACCUGUGCCUGCCAUCACCACCAAAACCAUGGUGGCAACUGCCACCGUUGCUGCCAGCACCACUACCGCCGCCUGCACCUUAGCAACCUUCAAUGUUGCAACUAAGACCACCAUUCCUUCCAACUCUAUCUCGCUGCUGCCAUCCUGACCACUGUUGCCAGCACCACCACUACCACCAAACAUGUUCAUUUGUUUCUCACCCUUGAAAAUGAGAGACAACUAUGGCCACCAAACAUGUUUUUAUGUUCAGAAUAUUGGAAACCAACCAAAAAAAAAAGAGAACAAAGACAAAAUACAAUAGCAGGCAAUGAUGCCAAGUGCAAUUUUAGCUUUUUAAUCUCAGCAUGUAUCGCAAAAGGUGUGACACUUGCCUCUAUGUAUGAGCUUGAUGAUGUCUGAUACUCUGAUUCGACCCCUUUACAAUUUUCAGCAUAAUAAAAUGAAGUUUGAUGAAAUGAAGGUCUAUGCUUGUUGCACCUAUUAUUAUAUGUUGCACGGCCAAAAUUUCAGGAAGUAUAGCAUCAAAGGUGGCCCUAGAUAUGAAUACUUGGUAAAUGAGGAUCCAUAAAGCAGACACCAAAUAGUUAGAAAAAUGCUAGAUGAUUAUGAUUGUAAUUAUGAUAUAACAGUGAUAUAAUUGAAAAUGUGCUUGCUCUAAAACUAUCAGACUAAUUGGAUUCUAAUAUCAUAUGGUGAAUUUAGUGGAAAUGGUGAUGUCGGACAAAUGAUAAAAAAACUAUGAAGCUAUAUUUAAAGGGCGUGUACAUCAGAUGAACUCUUAGAGUACAAUAGACAAGGGAUGAAGUGUUUUUCUCUUAGACAAGGGAUAUAAAGUUUUUUUUCUUUCAUUGUUUUUUUCAAUAGUUGGACGAACGUAUCCUGUGAUUCAAAUAACUGUAGUUGGAUGCAGUUAUGAUUCAUUAUGUAUAUUCAGGCAAUUUCUUUCAAUCGUUUUGAUGCUUUUGCUUUUGGAGGGAGUGAGGGAGGGAUGGUAGAAUGUAUUUCCUAAGAUUCAAAAAACUAUAGUCUAGCUAUGAUGCAACAUUUAUACUGAUGUAGUUUCUUUACUUUUUGGUUGAUAGCUUUUGCUUAUGUGCCUCCAUUUGAUUUGUCCGUUUCUACUUAAUGUUACAUUUGGGUGCCUUUGAAUUAGACUGCUUAUCCAACAUUUCAACCUGAUGAUACAUCCAUCUGAUGCCAUUGUGGGUGCAGUGUGAAGUCCAUUGAAGUUGCUGAGGAAAUGUGCAGAGAUGACAUCUAUGUUCAGUCUGAUGGGGAACAUUUAGGAUUUCUUCCAACAAAAUGUUCAAUCCUACCUGCUGCAAUCAAUUUCUUCAGCUAAUAGAACCAUCUGUUGCAGUUUCUCUCUCUCUCUCUNNNNNNNNNNNNNNNNNNNNCUCUCUCUCUCUCUCUCUCUCUCUCUCUCUCUCUCUCUCUCUCUUAUUUAGAAUUGUAAGACUGGUCAGCUUAUGCCAAAUUGAUGGAUGUUGAGAAUUUAUAUGCUUUGGAAAUAGCUAUGAUGUUUUGAUAUGGAUAUCAUAUUUGUUACAGAAUUACCAAACCUAUGUGCCUCUGUCGAAUGCUUCUCUGGUGGUUGGACUGUUUAGCAAGGUAAGAACAAAGGCAAGCACUAGGUAUGGAGAUACUAUGUAAUUAUAAGCUCGUUGAUAGCAUGCUGGCACAUUGAAUGGAGAACAUUUUGUAAAGCAAAUUCUUGCUUACGUUGAGAUACGUAGCAUUUAAGGCCCCCAGAUGUAUUAGGGGCCUCAAUGAAUUUAGAUGCUUAUCUUUGAACUCCCUAUAAGAAAUGUAUAUGUGGGCCGGAGUCUUAGGCAACCACUUCAGUCGCCUAAGGUUGAGCCAGCCUUGUCCAACGAGAGGCGCCGUAACGGUAGCGGAAAUUGAGGUCGGAAAUGCGUGAGAGGCAGAGAGCUGUUAGCCAUCGCCGAGAGGUCGAGGAUGAGGUUGUUUUGGGUAGAUGGUGAGGGUAAAUUAAAUGAGUCACCGGAGACCAAUGGGAAAGAACAUGGUGGCUUCUUGCGACCUUGGCUCGCGGCAUUUGGCAGCCAUCGGUUCAGAGGACGUCCAAACUUCAGCACCCUUCUUAAAAAAUAUGAAGUUCAGCCACCCUUCCAAACUUACAUGCGUAGAAAGUGUCCUCUUUUUUGUUUUGGUUGUUGAUUGCAUGAGAUAUCUGGACGGAAAUCCUAACUUCAGCAUAAUUUUGAGAGGCUAGAAGUAACUGUGUAAACGGGGAAAGUUAAUUCUGCUGCGAAGUCUUCGUGAGUUCUGGAUAGAAAAUAUUUAAUUAUUAAUUUUAGAAACUAAGAUCAAUUCUUGUUUUUUAAAGAUUAUAUAUAUUUAGAAAGUUUUGAACAACCUUCCCCUUUCUUGCAUCUAAUGAUAUAUGGAUAAUACACAAUAAUAUAUAUAUAUAUAUAUAUAUAUAUAUUGAAUAUUCAAUCCAUAUAAUUCAUAUAUUUAUAUAUUUAAUAUAUNNNNNNNNNNNNNNNNNNNNNNNNNNNNNNNNNNNNNNNNNNNNNNNNNNNNNNNNNNNNNNNNNNNNNNNNNNNNNNNNNNNNNNNNNNNNNNNNNNNNNNNNNNNNNNNNNNNNNNNNNNNNNNNNNNNNNNNNNNNNNNNNNNNNNNNNNNNNNNNNNNNNNNNNNNNNNNNNNNNNNNNNNNNNNNNNNNNNNNNNNNNNNNNNNNNNNNNNNNNNNNNNNNNNNNNNNNNNNNNNNNNNNNNNNNNNNNNNNNNNNNNNNNNNNNNNNNNNNNNNNNNNNNNNNNNNNNNNNNNNAGUCAGCCUUUCGUUAUCUUUAGUUAAGGUAUUAGUCUUUUGAAUUAAGAUUUGGUUGCUUGUCUUAAGUUCUGAAUUUUCUUUAAUAAUAACAUCUUUAUCCUUAACUAAUGUAUCAUACUUACGGAGGUGAGUUUGGUUAGUUAGUUUCAAUUCUUUGUUUUUAAGGUUUAUUGACUUAUACUCGUCCAUUAAUUCAUUGAAGGCAUCAUAUAACUCAUCGAAAGUAAAGUCUAAAUGUAUUCCGGAUGUUACCUCAUUGUCGUUAGCCAUAAAACAAAGGUUGGCUUUUUCUUCUUGUUCCUUAUCCGAUGAUGAUAAUGAUGAGUCGGAGUCCGAUAGGGUAGAGACAAGGACUUUCUUUUUCUUGUACUUGCUCCCCUUCUUCAGCAAAGGACACUCAGCUCCCUUCUGAAGUGCCCCGGCUUCUUACACUCAUAACAUCCAAUCCCCUCAUUUUCUCUUUCCUUACCUUUAUCCUUGUGAUAGGAAUUUGAGGGGCCUCUCCUUUGAUGAGAGGACUUCUUCUGGUUGAUGAAUCUUCGGAAUUUUCUUACAAGGAGUGCCUCAUCAUCAUCUUCCUCAUUGUCUUCCUCUUCACUGCUACUGCUGCAAGGCACAUCUUUGUUAGUGGAAACAGAUUUUAGUGCUAUUACCUUUUUCUUGUGAGAGGACUCUUCUUCAUUNNNNNNNNNNNNNNNNNNNNGGGCGAACCCCCGAACCGGCGACAGCAAUAUCGAACCGAGAAAAGAAAAACUUGAAGGAAUUCUCGCCUCCACAAUUAAAAUAUACCACCUGCCCCCUUAUUUGCGACUUUUCUCUCCCUCCCUCUCAGGCUCCUACCGCUCGACCAUGGCUUCCUCUUCCGUCUUCUUGGCCUCCCCAAUCCUCCCCUCCAAACCCGCCCAAAGACGACCCCUCUCUCUUCCCUCCGCCACCUCUCUUCCCAGUUCCAUCUCGGCCUUUCCUCGAUCCCUCCGGCGUCCGCCGCCGAACUCCCGGCCGCUGACCGCCGUCGCCGCCGUCUCGGUGGAGCAGCAGGACUCCGUCAAACCCGCGGCUCAGCCCUCCUCUCCUCCUCCUGCCCUCCCUUUCCGGAUAGGGCACGGAUUCGAUCUCCACCGCCUCGAGCCAGGUCUCCCUCUGAUCAUUGGCGGCAUCGAUAUACCUCACGACCGGGGGUGCGAGGCCCACUCCGAUGGUAAUUAGCACAAAUUAUUGGUUACAGUUGGGGGUGAGAUUCGUUUAGGGUUUUUAGAUUGAUUUUGAUUAUGGCUUUUUUAUUAUUGAUUGCUUCUGUUGCAGGGGAUGUGUUGCUUCACUGUGUGGUGGACGCGAUUUUGGGGGCGCUGGGGCUUCCCGAUAUAGGCCAGAUUUUUCCUGACUCGGACCCAAAGUGGAGGGGUGCGGCUUCUUCCGUCUUCGUGAGAGAAGCUGUGAGUUUCCAUUCCUUUUAUUGGUUUUACCAUAGAAUUUUGUUGCAAUCUUGAUGUGAUGAUUCUGUGCUAGAGUUGUGGCUUGCUUCUAGUACUGCAUGCGGAAUGCGUUGUCCUAAAUCUGAAUUGAAUUUGUCUGUUAAUGAUCAGAUAAAGGCUCAUGACACCUUGUGCAACCUGCAGUAACGGACCAUGGUUUUUCCAUAUAUAGUUGAAUAGAUCCGGUCCCCUGCUUGACCCAAAGAAAUUUACUACCUGACUAGCAUUAUCCUGUUUUGUGUUUUGUAUUGUAUUGUCAAUUCUUCUACAUUUCAAAGGCAUGAUUCAUUACACUCCAGUAUUGAGUGUUGAGCUGUUUCAAGGUGUCCAAUGCUUCAACCUCCAUGAAAUGUUUGCAUAGAAGAACUUACUAUUUUGUGAAGAAAUCCAUGUAUGCAUGCAUACAUGUGGGUACACAGAUAAAGACAUAUACGUUCAUGUACACACACGCAAGCAUGACGCUAGAAUUGAUCCGGUCAUAGAGAUCCAUGUUGAGGAGUAAAAUCAUGUAGAAGAGUCUUGUAUUGAUCCAGUCAUAGUGAUGUUUUUUUCCUUUUAGUAGGAGAUGAUGGUGUUUUUGUCUUGUAGUGGGAGAGAGAGUUCGGUUUUAUUAAGAGGGGGAGAGAUUUGCAUGAGGAAUAGUAAGAGAAUUCUUUUUGGUGAGUUGAGGCAUCUUUAAGAGUGGGAGCUGAACUCAUUGUUUCGGCCUUUAUUUUCUUUUGAAUAAAUUGUUUCUAUUCCAAAUUUUUCUUCCACCACCAUUGCUUGAUUUAAUUGGUGAUUAUUUUGGAUCAUGAACUGGUAUGUUCGAUCUACACCGAGGAGCAUGCCGUUCUACAUGUAGUGGGCAACCUUAAAAAAGUUUUAGCUUGCUACCGACAAUCACCACUGAAUGCAAGUGCAUGAGUUGGGGGAUCUAGGUGUAGACCUUAGUGGAUCUAGAUGAGCACUUGUUAAUUCUCCUAAGAACUGCAAUCUCUGGGGCAUGUUCUGGUGCAAUUUAUGGGAGUGCACUGGCAUUCAAUCCAAUGGCAUUCAUAGCUAGUAAUGAGGUAAACAAUUUUGGUUUAAGCUAGGGUCAAGUUCAUGAUUCAUAAGAACUUAAAUAAUGCAAAUAUAGUGGGUGAGUGGCUUAUCUACUGCAUAGAGCCUUCUCCACUUUCCCCUUAAAAAAAUCUUUCAGAAACCUGAAAAGGUCUUUUACAUGGAGGCCAAUUAUAUUUCUCUUGAAUUGCUUAUAACCAACUCCUAACUUCUUUUGAUUUACUGAAAGUGGCAAAAAUCCAUCUCUAAGUUGAAGAAGUGCUUCUAGCAUUAAAGAAAUGAAGAUAUGAUACACAUAUGAUAAUCAACUAAAUAAUGCUCAAUAAAAGGUAUCAAACCACUUUAAGGGAUAGUUUUGGUUCAGUUUCAAGGGAAGCUUCAAACUGUAUAUGAAAUUUAUUUAAUUCUAUAUUUCACUCUUCCUACCACCAAUAUGUUCUCAUCUGCUACUAUUGUUUGAGCUUAUAUGCAAGUGUUCUAAUGUUUCAAGCAUAACUAUUGGUGUUCAUAUUAAUAACUUUUCAUUCGUUGAAAAUAUCCAAGAAGAUUUGUUAUUUUUAAUAUUUUUUAACGGUCAGAAAUAUAUGAACAGUUCCAUAUCUGCGUGUUUGGGCAUUUUUAAUAGUCAGAAACAUAUGAACAGUUCCAUAUCUGCAUGUUUGGGCUUCUCUAGGGUGAAAUUGAUCUUUUUCUGAGCUCCUAUUCUUCAGAUUGGAGCUCUUAAGGUCCAAUUCAACCAGAUGAUUUUGGCUUUAUUUGCACCACUUUUCUUCCAAGAGACGGGUGAAAAGGCAAAAGAAAAAGCUGCAUACAGUGUAUAUUAUUUUUUACAUCAACUAAUAAGUUUUAGACAACAUUAUUUUAAUUACACCUGGAAUGACCAAAACUGAUCAUGAAAUGGUAAACUAUUCCAUGCGUUAUUUUAAGGCAACAAGAAACAGUAAGACAUUUGAGGGCAGGCCUUGGCGCAAUGUCAGGUUGCUCCAACGUGACUUGGGCUUCAGAAGUUCAAACACGGAAAUAGCCUCUUCACAAGUGAGGCUAAGACUGCGUACAUCUGACCUCCCUAGACCCAGUAGUGGUGGGAGCCUCGUGCACAAGGACACUCUUAAGAUGCCAUAAGACGGUUGUUCUAGAGCUUGAUUAUGGUUGUACAUGCUUGUUGGUGAAAUGUUUCUUAGUAGUCAUUAAUUCCUAGGAUGGGCUUUUGCCUGCUAUGUGUUAUGGCUGGCAUAAAUGUGCUGCUUUGCAUUGCCAAUUCAGAUUGGGGAGGUGGGAAUGUAUAAUUUUGUGUGUAUUGAAGGGAAACUGUGUAAAUUCUUCCGGGGGUCUUUUGAGUUGAAUAUGAAAAGGUGCAUGUGAGUUGGGAGCAUUAGGAAACUGCUAAUAACUGAAGCAGUCAAUCGACUGCUUCAGCAGGACUCCCACGGUACUCGUGUUCUCUUAUCUGGAAAGAAUUAAAGCUGUCAUUUCUCACUGUGUACUUUCCCGCUAGGUGGAAGACUACCGAUUGAUGAUCAAUGUUGUUUGUGUAAUCUCGCAAAUCAUGUAUUUAUUUUCUCGUAUGCUUCAGUUUAGACUUUCCUGCCAUCGCCAAAAGGAUGCUCACAUGUAUUGUUGUAAUCAUCUUUGUUUCCACCUUCAGUAUUUGACCCCUUACCUUCAUGGCUUCAUCUAAAACUGAAGUAAUUACUGAAUCUUCUUAUCAAAUUUUAUUUCUUCUUAGUCAAACAAUCAAAAUAACUUGGUGAAAUAUUGUUUCUCACUAAUACGACUCCCUGCCAGGUAAAGCUAAUGCAUGAGGCAGGUUACGAGCUCGGAAACUUGGAUGCCACUUUAAUUCUGCAAAAGCCAAAGCUGAGCCCACAUAAGGAGGCCAUCAGGACCAACUUAUGUGAUCUGCUUGGAGCCAACCCAUCAGUCAUAAACCUCAAAGCAAAAACACACGAGAAAGUUGAUAGUCUUGGAGAAAAUAGAAGUAUAGCAGCGCAUACUGUGGUUCUUCUGAUGAGGAAGUGAUGCCAUUGCAUAACAAGGGAAGAUGCUGCAUGUUUUUAUCAGUCAUAUACUAGGUAUUGGACGCUACUGCCCUUGCUCUGAUGGUAAAGAAGCAUCAUGAAUCACUCUGUUUGCUCAGAAAAUUUUCAUGUUUACUGUAUUAAAACUCUUGAAUCAAAUAGCUUGAAUGAUUUUGCUUCUUAACUUUUACCCUGUUCCUGAAUAAUCUGAGGCAUGGUACUGUCAGCCUAACUUAAAAGUAAUCAGCCAUACUGAUUUCUUAGUCUCUUCUGACAGGCUGUCCCUGACAGUAAGUUAGAGCUAUAACAAAAGUACCUGAUUGAACUUAUUUUUGCCCCCAGAAAGUAAUUCCUUAAUCUCAAUUUGCUUGCCUGUGCAUUUGUUGAUAAGAACUCAAAUAUUCUUUCCUCCUAUUUUAGCAUGAGAAUAUUAGCUCCUCCAAACAUCAGAUCCAGAGAUGCCUAUCAGAAGCAACUGCUUAUGUGAUGAUCAGGGAAUUCAGCACUUAUGAAUAUGCACUCACGAGGGAACUUCAAGCUAUUUAUAUGAAUUCUGAGGAACCGUAACUCAAAUCUGAUUGUUGGACUUGAAUUCAGGAAUUAAAGGGACGGGAGCCUAACAAUCAGGCAUCUACAGUGGUAAAUCCUCUGGCAUAACAUUUAUGACCUUCUCUCUAGUCAAAGUAUGGUUCGGCAUGUUACAGAUAUGAGUGAUUUCUAGAACAUUUUAAUCAGGAACGUCAUUUAGACACUGGAUUCUUGUUUGAAUAAGUCCUCAGCUAUGAACUCUGUACUCCUGCAAUCACAAGCCAGUUAGUGUUAUUCUUGUUGAGAAGUGGGACUGCAAUCUUAAUCCUAAACCUCUACUCUAGCCAUUUUUCUUUUUUCGUUUUUAGUUUUUUAGUGCCCCUUUUUCUCUGAAUCCCAUUCCAGGCAUGAACUGCUGAAUACUGGGGUGAUAAUAUGUGUCUAACCUUCAAGCAGAUAAUGUGCCAGAAUAUUAAUUUGCUUGAGCUUGAAGGUAUCCUGGAUGGCUUAAAUAUGAUAUCAACUUUUUCUCAAAUUAUGAGAGAAAAAGUACAGGAAUCAACCCUUUUAUUGAAAGUGAUUCCAAAGCCAUAAUUUGAUAAAUCUAGAAACUGGCUUUGCUUUGCAAGUCUGGAUUACUCAGAUUCCCAUAAAAAACAUCAUUCCAAGCUGAAGGAGAAGAUCAAAGCACUAGAUCUUACAUAUUGUGCUUACCUGCAAAAUCAUGCCAAGAUGCACGUCUGACCAAAAUAGCAUGCAUUUUGUACUUAAAGAUGGAUUUUUUUUUUUAAAAAAAAAGAAAUUCUAAAUUUGACAUUGCUUGCAAGCUGUUCUGAUGCACUACAAGCUGUGGUAGGUAUCUUUAAAACUUUUAUGUCCUGUUUUCAAGUGAUCCAUUCUAGGAUACAUCUGCAGAUUUUUCUGCCCUUCGCUGCUCCAUAUUUGUGUAGUUGAGUUCCAUAGACAAAGUUUCAGGUUAGUAACAUCCUUUCUUGAUAACUCCGAACCCUUUAACCCUGACAGAACUGGGAUUCAAUCUGAAGUUUCUUGUACAGACACCUAGAGCUUAUAAUACCAAGUGGAUAUGAUCUGUAGUGAAGGAUAACGUGAUGUAUGUAUCAACCAAAUAAAACUUUGCGAUCAACUGAACAAUGAAGAUCGAGAGCAUCAGUUAAAUUAAAUACAUAACCAAGUAAAAGAAUGGUGGUGUAUCUACAGCUCAUAUCAAUGUAUAUCUAAGUAUUGGCCACUGUCAAUAAAGCACGUAUGAAUACAGUGGCGCAAUCUAAAGGAUGUCACUUUUAAGACAGAGAAUAUGGAUCACAAAUUAAAGUUGUAUCAGCAAAAUAAGAUCUCUUAAUUUUUCUAAAAGAAUCUUCUUUCUAAGCUCCACUGCUUAACUAUGACUUGCUAGGACAGGACAAUGCUAAUAGGACUAGAGGAGAUGCCAAAACUAGGUAUUGCUCAAAUUGGUACACAAGCAGAAUUGGGUGUUGAGGUUGCUUGAACUGAGCGAAAAAGUUAGAGCAUUAGUCACCAAGUUUGUUGGAAUAGUUGAUUGGUUUGGAGGAAGAGCCAUUGUCAUGGGCUAAACAAAAAGUGAGAGAAAGGAGAAACAAACAAAUUGCUUCCACCACACAUUAAUCUUUUAUUCAUUUUAAGCAAAUUAAGAAGGAAAAGCUAUAUAUUAUCGAAAAUUGAGAAUUUAAUGUUAAUUUUUGGUAAAGAAGUGCAUAAUUGAGUAUUAUUGAUAAAGGUUGAAAGUCUCACAUGAGCCUUUUUCAAGAACCUGGAGCCUCCUAAGACUAGUUCCUGUGGAGAUUGAUUGCCAACUUGGAGUACAUAUGUACAAUAGGAGUGAUAAAUGUUGAUAUCUAUCCUCCAUUCAAAAUUUAGUCAACUUGCUAUGAUUAUUCUUUGAUAAUAAAACAUGUCACGUGUCUUGGAAUGCAUGUCUCAAACUUGUAUUGCUAUCUUGGUCAAAUCUAUCCUUUUUUUCUACACACAAAUAAUUUGAACACCAGAUCCCAGCACCACUAACCAACAACCCACUUAGCACCAAUUUGAUAGCAUUAAAAUGAUGAUGUACCUAAGUAUCAUCUUCAUAAUACAUGAACCUAUCGAGAUAUCUCAAAUCUUAGACCUUUUCUAUCUUCAUCAAUUUUAAUGUAUUCUCGGAUAUUGUCCAAUUCAACAUCUCAACAUAUUGAUCAAAUAUUCUUUACUAUUUUUAAAAUAAUUUAGAUAUAAAAAUAGUAAAAUCAAAUCUCAAAAAUUGCUAACGAAUCUUGAUUUUAUCAUAUUGGCCAAUUAUUUGAUAUCUAGGAGAGAUCUCCAUAAUUUCCAGACAUGAAAUUUGUCCAAAAUAAUAAUAAUAAUUUGGUACAAGCAUAAUCUCUCAAAAUUCCCCACAGUAAAUUAUGUCGUUAACCGGCUUUGCCGGAUCUUUGGACACGCACGUCAGCAGUCAGCCCCCCUCACCUGCAUUCGAAAAACCAAAAGCCAAAAAACCAAAAGCGAAACAAGAGAGAUGCCGUUUCUUGCACCCUCCCCUCCUCCUCCUCUUCUUAACUGCCCCCAUUUUCUUCUCCACUCGUCAGCCACCAGCAUUCCGCCCUCAGUUCUCGCAUACUCCCCGUCUCCCUCCCCAGUCUCCAUUUCACUCUCCAAAACUCCUUUUUUUUGUCAUAUCCCUUCCACGAAUUCUUUCUCAUUCUUGUUACUUUAACUCAUUGAACGAGAGAGAGAAUAAUUUAAGAAUGUCGUUCUGGAACGGCGAUUUUCUGAACAGCGAGCUGGCAAAGCCGACGUCCAUCUUCGGGCUGAAGCUGUGGGUGGUGAUCGGCAUUUGCGUCGGCGCCGCCAUCGUCCUUGUCCUCUUUCUCCUCUCCCUCUGCCUCACCGCCCGCCGCUGCCGCCCCGCCGCCCCCACCGGGAAACCCCUCAAGCUCCACCUCCAGGAUCCCACCCCGCCCGUCUCCAAGGACAUCCCCGAGAUCGUCCACCACCACCAGCAGCGCCACCGAGCCCCAUCCUCCGCCGCCGCCCUCGCCGAUGUCCAGAUCGACAUCGGCGGUAAGGCGGAGCACCGGGUGGUGCUGGCCGAGCAACACCGGCCGCCGGCGCCGGCGCCACCUUCGUCGUCGACGACGGGGACGGCCAGUGGAGAGAGCCGGGGGACAACGGAGGGGACGACGCCGUCGAUGGUGGGCGGGGGCCCACCGGAGGUGUCGCAUCUGGGGUGGGGACACUGGUACACGCUGCGGGAGCUGGAGAGUGCCACCGGCGGGUUCGCGGAGGAGAAUGUCAUCGGAGAGGGCGGUUAUGGGAUCGUGUACCGGGGGCUCCUGGCCGAUAACUCCAUGGUCGCCGUUAAGAACUUGCUCAAUAAUAGGUUCGUGCACUUAUAAAAACCACAUAUGCAUCGAUGAAUCACGAAUCUCUGCAAUUGCUGGUGGAUAUAGGAUAAAAAUUUGAAAUUUGCUCUCUUUUACUCGAAAGUGAAAAUUUUCAGUUAAUUGUUUACCCUUUCUUCCUUUAUUUAUGUAGAUUAAACAUCGGUAGUUUGUUGCUUUCUAAAUCACAGUUUGGUUGGUUAUGAAUUUUAGGAUAAAUUUGGAAAUCUGUUGACAUUUCACUUCUAGAUUUAUGUGUCUUAGGUGUUCUGUCACCUUGCUUGUUUUGUUUGUUUAUCUAGAAAAUUCGGUAACUUGUUGGUUUCUAGACUUAGGUGGCGGAUUUUUAGUUAAAGAUUGGGAUUCACCCCAUUUCGCUUGCAGGUUUGUGAUAUAUAUAUAUUUUUAAAAAUAAUGCUGAGUUUUUUGUUCUCUUUCAACUUUUCGACGAAUUGUUUUGUCAUAAAAUUUUCUUUGAAGUGAUUGAUGCCUCUCAGCACAUAGUGGUAUGGUUUCAUUCAAUGUAGUGUAAUUACAUAAUUUCUUGAGGACCUGUAAAAAGAAAAGGCCUUUUUCUUUUUUCUCUCUUCUCUCAGGGGUCAAGCAGAAAAGGAGUUCAGAGUAGAAGUUGAUACAAUUGGGCGCAUUAGGCACAAGAAUCUGGUCAGGUUGCUUGGUUACUGUGUUGAGGGGGCUUACAGGUAUUCUACCUGGAUCAAUCUGCUAAUCAUACUUUGUUAAAAUUAUUUUAAAUUCUCGAAGCAGUUCGGUGCAAUGUUUAAGAUGGAGUAUCUGUGGACCGAAUAUUUUAAUUGAUUAUCUACAUCCUUCUGUUUUGGUUAGGAUGCUUGUCUAUGAGUAUGUAGACAAUGGCAAUCUGGAUCAGUGGCUUCAUGGGGAUGUCGGAGUAGUGAGUCCGCUAACAUGGGAUAUCAGGAUGAAGAUAAUACUGGGAACGGCAAAAGGGUACAGCAUUUCUUCCAUGAUAUUUGUUUCCUUUUAUCUUCAACUAGGGAAUCAAAUUAGCAACAGAAUUUUUCCUUCAAAAAUUUUGUCUAUAGAAAUUAACAGAGGAAGCUUACUGCCAAUAUACUGAAAAAAAGUCUAAAUUGAGGAGUGGGUUAUUAACCACGAGCAUUUUAUAAGAAAUAUCUGAAAUAUCAGAAAGACUGUCUAAUAUGCUAUCUUACCACAUAUACUUUGAUAGAACAAUCAUAUACUGUACUUAUUUAAAUGGAUAUAGAUGACCCAAUGAAGUAUAUUGUAGGCACUAUGUACUAGAUUUGAAAGGUGAAGUUGUAGGGCAUGGCACUCAUACUCAUUGUCAUAACAACAUGAGGCAUAAGCCUCAAUGACCAAGCUUGUAUAUCACAUGGGGCUUGCACAUAAGAGGGGAAGGAUGUGCUUCGUGCUGCGUUUAGGUGAGAAAAACCUACAUGGUUGUGUACAUAAAGCAUGCCUCCUUUUUCUAAAUGAUAGCCUAUUUUUGUCUUUGAAUAUCUAUAGAUAACUAAUUAAGCCAAUCCAAUUAUUACACUUUAUGGUGCUCCCUUUUGCGAGCAAACUUUUCUGUCAUAAUCAUUCAAUUUUUUUUUCUUGAGUUCAAUUGAGUUGUCAGAUUGAACCAUCAAUCUUAAGAUAUUGAUGGCAUGGCUUACAGGUUGGCCUAUCUUCAUGAGGGGCUUGAACCAAAGGUUGUCCACCGUGAUGUCAAAUCCAGCAACAUACUACUUGACCAGCAGUGGAAUCCAAAGGUGUCGGACUUUGGGCUUGCCAAGCUCUUGUAUUCUGAGAGGAGUUAUGUAACAACUCGCGUCAUGGGGACUUUUGGGUUAGUUUGAAUUCCUAAUCAAUAUGUUUACAUUUUCCUUGCGGUGUUUAGAGAUUUAUGGGACCUUAUUCUCUUUGGUUAUUGCAGCUAUGUGGCACCUGAGUAUGCUAGCACUGGGAUGCUGAAUGAGAGAAGUGAUGUUUACGGCUUUGGGGUGCUUGUCAUGGAGAUCAUAUCUGGGAGAGCCCCUGUGGAUUACACAAGACCAUCUGGGGAGGUUACUUUCUUCCACCAGACUGAUCUGUCCAAGCUAUCAUCUGUUAAAACAACUGAGCCAAAUUUGAACCUUUUGUGUUGUUCUUAGGUGAAUUUGGUUGAAUGGUUGAAGACCAUGGUCGGAGGCAGGAAAACUGAGCAGGUUGUGGAUCCUAAGAUGCCAGAGAAGCCAUCUCCCAAAGCACUCAAACGGGCACUUCUAGUUGCCCUGCGGUGUGUCGACCCUGAUGCGCAAAAACGGCCUAAAAUGGGACAUGUGAUCCAUAUGCUUGAAAUGGAUGAGUUGCUAUUUCAUGAUGUAUGCCCAAUCUAUUUUCAUGGAUCUGACCCAGCUCCAUAUUCCACUCAAUCGUUUGCAAUAGAAUACUCAGAAAACAUUGCUUUGGCUAUCGUUUAAAUCAUUUCACUGCUUGACCCCUCCUUGUUUUUUGCAUCCCUGUCACAGGAUCGUAAACUCGGGCGAGAAGCAUCUUCUCAGCCAUCAGACCGGUACAACCAAAGAGAGGAGGGAAGCUUCCGCAGGCAUGAUCAGACAAGCUGGCGAUGACAGGAUCAAGUAGGUGGCUGACAAUUUGAGCUUGUAAAUUUGCAACAAUAAUGGAAUUCUUCCCUUCUCGUCCGUUUCACGUUACAUUCUCAUCUUGCAUUCAGAACUGUGCUGAGAAAAUGAUUUCUUAUUGAGGACAUCCAAUUAUGGAAAUAAUAUUUGAUGAUAUCUUUCAGCUUGUAUCUACAAGUGGAUGUUGUCUGACUCGAAUUUUAUUUUGUCAUGGUCUCCUCUGCAUGCGGCCUCUUCACCACUGGAACCUAAAAUGUCCUUCAUGGCUUUGUCUCUUGCUUCCAAGUGGUCUUUCUGUGCCCUUAUUUCAAGAAACAUCAUUUAUAGCAGUAAUAUGGAAUAUAGAUGAUCAACAAGUAGAUGCUGUUGAUUUGAUUUGAUUUUUUUUUUCUCAAUACAAUGAGUUUCUUCAUGUGGUUUUAUUGCCACUGGGUUUUAUAAAUGGCUUCUCUGAUUAUGCCUCAUUUCCUUUUAACUGAAUUGGUCCUUUUAUGCUUGAAUACCUUGAACAGAUAAAUGGCUGCAUGUGUGCUCACAUGUUGUCCCUGGACCUUCUACAUUUAAAAUCCAUCUGUAUCUGUUGGCUGGAUCGUAUCCAUGCAUGGUUGCUUCAUUGGCCUUAAGUAACAAAAUGAUUAACAUUUCCACUGCACCCUCCAUAUUAGUCCUCCGACUAGUAUUGGUCGAUCUACUUUUCAACCAGAAGCACCUUCCCUUUCAUUCAGCCUUAGUAGAGAGAGUAUAUUUUAGGUCACCUCUCUUGAGAUGUAUCUUGUGGAGUCAUUCACUAUUAACCUUUCUUAAGAUUGGCUACCGACAACUUGUACGCUAUGAAUACCUGGAUCAGUGUAUUAUAUUGUACUGUAAAAAUCUAUUAUUGUUGCUGUUCUUUUGGGAAAAAUGAAGGUAAUUCCAUUUCUCACAAACUUUUUGUGUUCUUCUCAUGGUUUAGUGGAAAGGUUAAUACACACUGCCAUCCUAUCAUGUGCUUGGAAACAUUUUUCUCUAUAAUAUGAUGCAUCCCACAGUUUCCGGCACCACCAGAACUACAGUCGAGGCUGCUGGAUGGAGAAUCUUUCCCACUUCGACCUUAUCUGCGAUGGAUGGGUUCGAAUGCAUAACGGUAUUGUGCUCCAAAAUUAUGGAAAAAGCUAGCGUUCCUCAGGAAACUCCACAGCCAAGAUGGGACAAAAGCACAGCACUGGUUCUUUAAAUAUAAACCAACCUCGGUAAAUGCAAUCACGUGAUGCUCCUCGGGUACACCCGGUGGGGAUUUAACUGGGAGUUGAAGACAUUUCGACACUUGUGGAUAAAUUAGGAUCAAAUGGGGGGGGGGGAAGUGAGAAGUCCCACAUGUUCCUGUGACAGUAGAAGGCGAAAGUUGCCGGACCGGCAAAAAAAAUAAUACUAAUAAAAAGAGAGGAGGGUGGGGGGAGUUCCAGAUCUAAUUCGGUUGAGUAGGGACCAACCGGCGCGUUACAGAGAAAAGAGACAAAAAGAAGAGAACAUAAAGGAUGAGACUCGGGCUGUCACGAGAUUUGCCAAACGGAAAGUGAGAUUAGUAAUUCUAUUGGAAAACUUUGGCUUCCAGUUUUUCAUGCAAACAUGGCGAUCGAAGAGGUCUCCAACCUGCGGUCCCAGAGACUGAGGUUUCAACAUAUUCAUGAUUGGAUGAUGCUUACGAGAAAUUCGCGAUCUCCGUCACAACUGGCGAUGAUGAUAUUGAAAUAAGAAGAAUUCUUGGGAAUCAAUUGGGAGUGGUGCUGCUAUCAUCAUUAAAUCAAGAAGAUAAAUUUGUACUACAAAUGAAUGCUGAUAGCCCCGAGUCAGCAGUAUGUUAAUCAAGAAACACAGCCGGUGUGAUGAUGCUAUCAUCUUGCUGGUGAUAUAAUUGCAGUGAUAUACCCUGAACAACAAUAAUAACACUGUCAAUGGUUUUCCUUUUUGGUUUUUUUGGCUUCCCCUUUAGAGAAGUUGAUGGUUCUUAAUUAAUUUCUCUUCUCAGAUAUCAACACCCACAUUUGGCCACAGGAAGUUAAAAAAAUAAUGGAUAAUUAUUGGUAGGGUUAAUUCAUUGUCUCACUGAAGUUAUAAAAGAUUGUAGCAAGUAAUAACAUGUAAAGGAAACUUCCAUGGAGACAAGAAGUGCUAGAAACGAUGACAGUAACCUUUGGUCACCUUUUUGUGAUAUGGGAAACUUACAAUAUAGAAUGCUAACAAUUAAGUAUGUUUACUAUGUUCCAUAGUUGUAACUUUCGAAAUUGUUUUGAGAGGUAAUAUGCAGUCUAGAAGUGGGAGAACAACGUUAAGCAGAAUUUUUUAAUUUAGAACAUGGGAAAGGUCAAUGUUCAACAUGAGGAAAAUAUCUUCAUAAAAAAAGAGAGGGGGAAAACAUAAUGAUCUGAUAAUCAUAUUUUAUCUCUUGCUUUUUUUUUCCUAAGCAGAACUAGUUAAUAAUGGCUGCUUUUACUUUUAAAAUGUUCGGGUACAUUUCCCAUAUGUUUCCCCCAAGAUCUUGAAACGUUAUUGCUAUGCUUCUCCGAACAAAAGAUAUAUUGGGCAGGCACUAGAGAAAAAGAAUAGGGCAGGCUUCCUAUUUUGCCACGUCUUCUCCGUUACUCAUGUUAAAAAAGAAACCCAAAAGUCAUAGAUUUCUUUACCAAUGGAGUCAUUAGUCCUAUGAUUAAAAAAAUAAAAAAAAAGAAAAUUACAAUACAUACUAUAUGAUCAAGUGAUACAACCAAGCAAAUUAGUUAUUUAGCAAGCCAAUACACACAUCUAGAUAAAUUGAUAUAUAGUUUUUAGAACAGUGUUUAUUGGUACACAGUACACAGUCAAAUGGCAUACACUUCAAAUUAACUAUCUAGCAAACAAAUACACACUUUCAAGCAAAUUAUACACAGUUGUUAGAAUAUCAUAUUCAUAAAUACAUACUACAUGACCGGCGAUACAUACCCGUUGAUUUUCUGAUACAUACUGCAAGUUUAUUUGAUACGCACCUAAUAGUGAUCUAAUGCAUACAUUCAGAUAAAUUGAUAUAAAAUUUUCAUAACAUGCAUUUUACUAAUAUACACUACAUGGUUAGAUAAUACACACUAAGCAAAUUAAUCAUCCCGCAGGCCAAUACAUACUUAUAGAUAAAUUAAUACAUUAUUUUUAGAAUAUACACACUCGUCGACUUUUUGAUAUAGAUUGCAAGCUUAUUUGAUAUAUACUUAGUAGUGAUCCAAUACAUACCUUUCGGUAAAUUGACACAGUUUUCAAAAUAUACUUUUUACCAGUACUCACUAUAUGGUCAGGUGAUCAAAUUAAUCAUCUCGCAAGCUAAUACACACCUCUAGAUAAAUUGAUAUCUAGUUUUCAGAACAUAGUACUCAUCAAUACCAAUAUACAUUUUUCUAGCUUUGUCUAAUAUAAGAAAUUAUAUACAUAUCAUUCAUUAAAUUCCAUAAAAUCUUGGGUGCUAAGAUUCUAGAAAAGAGAGAAAUUUGUAGCAGGAGAAAGAGACUCAGAAGGAGAAGGAAGACCAUAUGAAUGGGAUAGACAGUCUUUCUAAAGAAGAAGAUAAAUGGAGAGACUGAACGAGGAAGAAAAAUGGUGCAGACAAUCUUUCUCCAUGAACGAACUCUUUAGGAGCGUGUAAAUUUUUUUUAAAAAAAUAUUAUAAGGUUGAUGGACUUCGUUAGUAGUAGGAGUCCUAUUUCCAUUUGAUUUUUGAAUUUUCACUUUAACAUGAAUGCUAGAGAAAAUAUAGCAAAAUAAAAAUUCUGUCCGAUACGAUAUUCUAUAAUCCUGCCACAUGAUUUUUGUUCUACAUCUCCCACCUGGUUCCAUAUUUUGGGAAUAUAAAUUGGUCAAUUUUGACAGUUUUCCAAUAAGCAGUUCAUUGCACGGGGAAAAAAAAUAUCUGCAAGCAUGCUUUAUUCACGUGCAAACAAGAGAUGGAUAAAUAAAUAUGUAAUGAGCUACUUCUUUUAGCCCUUGACACGAACUACUACGUUUUUUGGUUAUAAGUUCUAUAGAUGAUAACCUUUUUUUUUGGCCGCGCAGGGUAGGGGAACAAAACUAUUAUAAAAAAAGAGCUUGCUGGAAUCGAGGCAACAGAAGCAUGCCCUUGACAACAACGCUGUGGACAACAUAUAGCUUGACGAAGUAGAAAUUGUUCCUAUCACGGAAAACAGAAGCAUAAAAUUGGCAAUAAUUCUGUCGACAAUAUAUACGAAAUCAUCCAUUUGUUAUGACGACAGAGACUCUGAAGUAAUAAUUAGGUGCACGAAGUACUCUGAUGGUUGAUCCGAGAGGACACGACAGGAAGGAACCUUCCCAUUACUAUUACCCGGGAUACUGCCAUAAGCCACAAACACUUGCAGUUGUCCAAGUGCCACUGUUUUAAAUCCAUUCGUCAAUUUUGAUCCUCUACGAUUCCAGAUCCACAGAGUGAAACUGCCACAUGAUGUCUCAGCUUACUAGAAAUCUGUCCACCAUUUGAGAAAUUAUUGCCUACACCAAGUGCACCAGCAUAGCCAUGCAUGCAGCUAAUCACGAUACUAAUUUCUAAGAUGGUGCACCAAGAUUCAAGCAUUAAGGAGGCAUCAUUGGCUGCGUGCACAACCAUAUGGUGAACGCAAUGUAGGCAAUAAGAAUAUGAAUGAUGAACCAGUUAUAAUACCUUAUAAGCUAGAAAAAUUGUUAGAUGGACCAGGGCCAGUGCACCACUCCAAUAGUCACCUGCCAGAUUACCUCUCCAUGUAUUUAAACUAUUCAAUAUCAAAAAAGGGAUGAGAAUUCAUCCUGUUAUCCGCCGCAUGUGCCCCAAGUAUUUAAACUAUUCAAGAUAAAAAAAAGGGUGAGAAUUUAUCCUGUUAUCCACCUUAUACGUGCCCCACGAUUUGAACCGGUCCAGUAGACUUGGUCCAUCUAAUAAUUUUUCGAUAGGCUAUACCCGUUUUAAUUGUAGGAUAGGGUUAUUUCAAGGCGCGGAGGCGUGUAAAUGAAGGCAGCAGUCAUGAUCAAUGGGUUUUAGGUCUGGGUCAUGAUAUCCUUCUGAGUGUAGAACAAUUUGCCAUCCUAACUGACCACCUAUCCACAAAAGAAUAGAACAGUCAAGCCUCCAACCAUAAUAGAAAUCUAGCAUUAUAAAUGACCAUAAAUUGCUUCUAAUGCAACCAUCCAAAACACCAUCAUACUAUCUGCAGACAAGAGGUCCACUAAACCAAAGCUACCUCAGGGCAGCAUCAGCAUGGCUGGAGAAUGGACACAAAUCAAAAAGUUCUACAGAGCUCACUAGUCAGUACAACGAUGCAUCAUGCAUGCAUGGUGGUCAAGCAAACAUCGACAAGGAACAAACUGCCAACUUCUCAACAAAAAUAUUGGCAUACCCCAUGUAACAUUUAGGUGCUUGAAUCUGAAUUUACAUGACCUACACUUUCAAAACUGUCCAAACCGAAAGUGGAAUUCGUUCGGUCCUUCAUGUAGUCUGGAUGAUUAUCUAUUCCAGGGAUGGUGAUGAAAAGCUCUGUUCUAAGUUAUCCUUUUUUAAGUCACAUUUUAUCAUUUAUAGUUUCCCUUUCUUAACACGCAUGUGUCCUUUUUCUCUACCUCAAUGGUGCCAUGUCCUCCUUUCUCGACCACUCCAAUCUUCAUUUCUUCAAUCAACCAAAACACCUCCCCCUUCCAUCACUAAUAUGAUAGAGAACUUUGACAAUGUUUAGUUUAAAUUCUUCAUUAAAUUCUACAAAACUUGAUUGCAUGAAACACGUCAAUUCUUACCAUCCAACUCCAUCAAACUGCCUUUGGACAAGCAUCUAGCAUGUGCUCCUUGAUACUGUGCCACACUUCAUAAAUCCUUUCAGUUUGUGGGUGUCUUGUAUCCCCCACUACAAACCUAAAGCUCUCCAUGCCUCCAACCUCGACAUAACUCCAUCCAGCCUCCUUUCUCGAUCCCUCUCUCUUCAUCUCAGCUCUCAACCUCGCCACAUCUCCCCAUCUUCCAGCCACUGCAUAUACAUUUGACAAUGCCACCCUCCAGACGUUUCCAUCUGGUUCCAAAACAGAAAGCUCCUCCGCAGCUCUUUCCGCAAUCUCAACAUUCUCAUAAAGCACACAAGCACCCAAAAGGGAUCCCCACACUGAUGGUCCAGGCUUAAUGGGCAUAGUUUUAAUGAAUUCCACUGCUUCAUCGAGCUUCCCAGACCUCCCCAAAAGGUCCACUACCGCAGCAUAAUGCUCCAUGCUUGGCUCAAUACCAAAGUCCCUAUGCAUGCUCUUGAAGCACUCAAAGCCUUCCACUGUCGAUCCCGAAUGACCACAUGCCGAAAUAAUACUAGCAAAUGUUAGACCAUUUGGUUUAUGCCUUCCCCUGCUCUUAAGCUCAGCGAAAACAUUGAGGGCAGAAUUACCAUCUCCAUGGAUCCCAUAAGCUGCAAUCAUUGAAUUCCAGGAGCCAAGAUCCCUUAUAUCCAUAUCUUUGAAGAUCUGCUCUGCUAAGUCUAUCCUGCCUGAUUUUGCAUACAUGUCUAUGAGAGCAUUACAGAUAAAUACAUCGUGAUCGAAGCCUGAUUUAAUCACGUAUCCAUGUAGUAUCUGGCCUUGUUGGAGCGAUGCUAUAUCAGAGCAUGCUUGUAUUGAACUCAACAUUGUUACAUGAUCAGGCGCUAGCGCGCCUCCACUUGUGCCGUGGAUUUCACUGAGAUGUUGCAAAGCUUCUGCAAUGCUUCCAUUCUUCACAAAACAUGAGAUCACUGUAUUCCAAGAUAUUAUAUCUCUGUUCUCCAUUCUUCUGAAGAUCGAAUGGGCCGACGCGGCCUGCUCAUGCUUUGCAUACAUACCCAUGAGGGAGUUCGCAAUUAUAGUGCAUGGGAAGUAAUUCAUCUUAAUCAAGUAUGCAUGGAUCUCCCUCCCACGCUCCAAGGAUUCUGAAUGUGAGCAACCAUGGACAAGGGAAGCAACAACAUCAGGAUCAGAACAGACAUCUCCAUUUGGGAAAUAGAAUCGAAAGAAAAUCUUUAUCCCUUCGGCCACAAACGCAUUCUUCGCAUACAUCUCCACAAGAGAAUUUACCACCAAAUCAUUGCUAUCCAGCUCCAAUUUCAUAACCAAAGCAUGAACCCAACCAAACAAACUCGAAUCACUCAUCAACGAGCAAGCCUGAAUGACGCUCAACAUCGUCACCUCAUUCGGUCGAAUGCCAUCUUCCAACAUCGUUAUAAACAAAACCAAGGCCUUUUCAAGCAUCCCAUGGAGGACACAACCCGAGGUCACCGCAGUCCAAGAAACCACAUCCCUGCAGAUCAACCCAUUAACAAGUUUCUCAGCGCUCGCUAUAUACCCUAACUUCGAGUAAGUAUCAAUCAAGGAGUUGAGUACAAAGUUAUCCCCAUGAAACCCAUUCAAGAGAUCAGGAAACCGUGCAUCAACCUCCCCAAUUUCUCAUCCUUCAGCAGCGCACAAGCCCGAAGGACAGCCGCAACGGUGAACUCAUUAGGAAGAGGGGCCGCUCCUUCUGACAGCAUAUUCAAGAAGACACGGACAGCGGCAUGAGCUGCUCCAUUGUGGCAGUGACCGGAUAUCAAGGAGGUCCAAGAGACUACAUCUCUUUGGGGCAUUCGGUCGAAAAGCUCUGUGGCGCAGUCCAGACGGCCACACUUGGAGUAGGCAUCGAGAAGGGAAUUGGCGACGAAGAGGUUGGAAUGGAGGCCAGACUUGAAGAGGCCAGAAUGAAGGCAGGUGGUAAGCCUCAGAUCUCUUUGGGCAGCGGAGGAGUUGAGGAGAUGGACGGCAGCAGCUGAGUCGAGGAAGAGGUUGUUUGGGUGAGACGGAGGACGGGAAUGGGAAGGAGGAGAAGGCGGGAGCUGCAAAGAGAUGGGUGACAUUGGAUUUGUUUUACGGGGAAGCGAAAUGGAUGUUAUUGGUAUUUUAGAACUUCUACCGUAUCAGGGGGGAAGUUGAUCGUAAAAUUUCAUGGAGUUGGAUGCAGGCGGGAAGAAGGUGACCUCCGAGCAUCGUUAAAAUUACGGUCGUUAUGACGGCUUUGCAGCCUCCGUACUCCGUUAUAUUACAGAAUAAAAACCCUGACUUAUGCGUAUCGUCCCGUUAUUACUUUCCCGGCUGCAAAUGGGUCGGGUUGACCCAUAUUCCAACCCGACCCGACCCGACCCAUUUUGAAGGAGCUGUAUCCAUCCUUUAGGUAUAUAUUGUAUCCAUUCUUUUCUAGCAAAAUGAGUAAGUGAAUUCUUUAAUGCAAAAUUUAUAUACUAUAUCAGGCACCUAAAAUGCCAAUGAAAAAUUCUCCAAAUAUUUCCUAAUAUUUAUAUAAGUUUACCCCCUCUUUAGAUAAGUGGAUUUAUGUUCUUUUUUUAUUUAAGAGAGGAGUUAAUUUAGAGAGUGGAUGAGCAAGCCUACUGAAAUUUUUCGAAAAGCUCAUUUAAUAACCAUAUCUUUUCUGAAAAAUGAAGUAGAAUCCAACCAAACAACCCCACCAACUAGGCAACUUUAGUGAAUCCAAAAUAAAAUAUAGGUUACGGAAAGAAUUCAUGUGAUUAGGAUACAAUUGAUGUAUUAACAACUUUUCAUCAAUUGGGUGCACAAGUUGAAGUUGACAUCAUGUCGAUGAAGAAAACUUGAGCCAUGCUGGUUGCUCUUUAAAUAUCUUCUCUUUUUUUUUUCUUCUUCUUCUAGAUUUUACUAGUAUUGUAUUUUUCUUCUCCUUCCAUGACAUACAUUAUGAUUAUAAAAUAUUUUUUUAAAUCCACAUAACAUAUGAUUUUAAUGAUUUUUCAAAUUUAAUUGAUAUCAAUUCAUAAAAUAACAUUCUAAUAAUUGAAUGAUCACAAGUAGGGCUGAAACCAGAUUGAAUACAGAUUUGAUACCAGUAUAUCUCUAUCCAUAUUUAUUUUGUUUGACGAAUAGUGAUACGAAUAUACAUAUUGUUAGAUAAAAAAUUCUUAUUCAUAUUUAUUUUAAAUGGAUAUAGAUAAUUAAACUUUAUGAUCAUAUAAUUAAAAAUAUUAUUUUGAUCAAUAGUAAAUCAAAUUAAUAGUAUGUUAAUGUAGUUAUAUAUUUUUUUUAAAAGUUUAUGGAUGUUAUAUAAAAUUAUAUAGAGUUAUAAAUAAAAUUAGAAAUUCAAAUACGGAUCGGAUAAUUAUUUAUCCAUAUCCAUAUUCAUUUUUUUCUGACAGAUACAGAUAUGGAUAUUAGUCGGAUGUUCAAAUUUCAAUCCAUAUUCGAAUUGAUUCGGAUACAAAAAUGGAUCCAAACGAAUAUUAUCUAGUUCACCUUCAUCUGUAAUCACAAGCUAAUAAGAUCGUCAUAUAUUUUAUUUUUCUUUGUUAUUUCAAGGUUUACUAGCCAUUGCAUCAAUAGCUAAUUAGUAUUUUAUUAUCAAAAAGUAUAUCCUAAAAUUGAAUCACGUAAAUAAAAGCCUAUAUCUAUUAGGAUAAUACAUAUGCUUUUUAAAAUUAUUUGUAUGUCUUAAAGCCCAAAAUUUGAUGGUGCUUUUUUUUUCAUCUCAAACAAUUCUAUUUUUUUGAUAAGAUCUUGUUGAAUAAGUGGGCAGCAAUUUUAUGAUAAAUAUCAAGCUCCAAAGGUUUUAUUCAUAUUAGAAGGAAGAGAUAAUGCAAGGGAGUGUGAUUGUAGACGGGCAGUUCCAUAACUUCAAAUAGUAAGAGAUCAUUUAACCAAGGACAGAUUUCUAGCGUUAUAGCCCGUGACUUCCAAAUCAUAUGACGAGAUAAUGCCAAAAUGAAUUCUUUCCAAUCUGAAGUUUCUUUUUCCCCUUCUAUAUCUUGCAACAUCACAUCAAAAUUGGAUGAAGAAAAGUAUAUAACUAAGAGAGAGAGAGAGAGAGAGAGAGAGAGAGAGAGAGAGAGNNNNNNNNNNNNNNNNNNNNNNNNNNNNNNNNNNNNNNNNNNNNNNNNNNNNNNNNNNNNNNNNNNNNNNNNNNNNNNNNNNNNNNNNNNNNNNNNNNNNNNNNNNNNNNNNNNNNNNNNNNNNNNNNNNNNNNNNNNNNNNNNNNNNNNNNNNNNNNNNNNNNNNNNNNNNNNNNNNNNNNGUAAGAAUCUCUAAAUCAUAUUAUGUAAUGUGUAAUCAGUUCAAAAAUGGAUCAUGUCCGACAGCUUGGAUCACCGAUGUUAGAUUCUUGCAGUCUCUUUUUAUAUAUAUCACAAAUAAGCAUCAUUGCUGGCUGCUCUUCCAUAGGCAAUGAUCACCAAUAUUAGAACCUGAUAUAAAUAAGCACACCAAUGGCGUUUCAAUAACAAGACAGUAUAAGAAAAUACAAAUAACCCAGAAAAAAAUGAUAAGCAUGGCACAACUUGUAGCGAAGAAAUAAGCAUACGAUCACGACUAGAAUUCUCCUUAUUUCAUGGCAGGCAAAGUUCGUCAGGUCUCUUCAUGGUAAACCUUGAGUUCAAGGGAUCAAAACCAUCCAAUAUUCCACAAUCUGGUAAAUGAUACAAAGCUAGUGUGACUAGUGCACAGUAAAUUCUUAAAUUUCUUUUUGAGGAAAAUAAAUUCUUUAAUUUCAUCUAUGCCAAUUGUCAAAUUCUCAUUGCAGCCCUUUACAAAGGUUAGUUUGUCCCAGUUCAGCAAGGAUAGUUUAGAGAUGAGAAUCUCAAGUCAUUUCAAAGCCAUUUACUUACUGGAGACAACGCUUCUAAAAUGAUGUUUGUUUAACAUAGUAUGCAAGGCUUAAAAAGGGUUUCUGGAUAUUCCUUCAAAUGUGCUAGAACAAAAUGAUCUGUCAGGGCAACUCAACUGCAAUCGAGAAUUAGCUGGUGGAUGGAGUAAAGAAGCAACUUCAAUGAUCACAAAGGCCUCUAAAAUUGGUAAUCAUUAUUGACAUACAUUUUGAAUAGGUAGCAGACAAUAGACAGUUAAUGGUAAAUCUAGUGCACUGUUCUACAUAAAGAACAUGUCAGCAAAAUCAUCAACCCGGUAGCACUAGAACACCUAAUGAUUUCUUCAAGAUAAAAAAUCAAAUAUGCAAAUCAUUUAACAAGAAUGUUAAAACAAUUGAAUGAGUAAGCCAGCACAAUUUAAGUAUAUAGAUGUGCUCACUUAUAUGCAUGCAGCUGAGUUUACUUUUCUGAUCAGAGUGUGCAGGUACAUAUAUUAGAAAAUGAUUUGCAAUUUCAUAUACAGAAUCCUAGUUGGGAAGUAUGGCAUGCGUCAGAAGCAAUAUAGUGAAAUUCAGGAGAAGAUACUUAUAAAACACAUUCCUGAUAGAGGCGCUUAUAGGUCGAUUUCCUCUGAAUCAACAUCAGUGGAGAAUGAUUUAUGCCCGACCUCCAGCACAUGAUUGCUGUUCUUUCCGUAAAAUACUCAGGAUUGUACACCCACCAAGAUGACGUAUUCUUGUUCGACAAUGAGAUCACAGGUACCUACCUCAGACUAGUCUUCCUUCUUCCUGUCAGGUUCUUCAAGAGCAGCGAGUCUUUCAACUAGUGGUGGAUGGGAGUAGUGGUAAGCUGAAUACCAUGGAUCUGUGUUCAUGGCAGAUAAGUUCUCUUCCUGAAAGUAAUAACAAAAAUGAAAACAAACACAAUUAUUUAUGUCAAUUACUGUGAAUAUAUAAUGCAUAUAGAUGAGUGUAUCAAGUUGCCGCAAGAACCAAAAUACAAUCCAUAUUAUGAAUCUGGUCAAAACAUAGAACCUAAACCCAAUCCAAUUCCCUUCGGACUGUAUCAGGAAUAAUAUUAAUUUUAUCAAUCCAAUGGAUUUUUCAGGUCAACUUGUAUUCAAAACACAAGCCAUAAUUAUAUAAUAGUAAGCAAAAUGUAUACAUUAUCAAAAACACAUUCUACAUAAGUUUUGAUUGAUAGCCAUAUAUGUAUAAUUGACCACACAAUUUAUUGAGUAACUAUACUAGAAAAGAAAACUAAUUUCUUAUAUUCAAUGAGGGUUCUAAUUUCUGAAAUAUAUAUUAUCCUGGGUUUGGAAUAGUUUGGUCAGUUUGGGAUUGGAUUAGGAAUUUAGUGAUCCAAAUUCAAUCCAAAUUUGGAAAGGGUCAUGUUUUUGAAUCCAAGCCUAAUUCAAUCCACUUCAGUUUGGGUUUGGACCGGAAUAAUUCCAGACCAGUUUCAGAUUGCAAGUGAAUCAGUACAGUCCACCUGCACUCCUCAUCCUUGUUCAACAGGAAUGGAUGCAAAUCUGGACUAGAAGAUCAGGAAAUAACUGAAAGAUAGCAAUUUGACUGUCAUGGCCUACAGGAGGACUAGGUACUAGAUCAUUCGGAAGUAAUUAAUUUUUAACUGAAGCAAACAAUAUGAAUAAUAAAAAAAAACCUGUAAUUUCACAAGGCCUGCUCGAAGUGCUGUGGCAUAACCCAGUUUCUUUGCAAAAGCAUCAGCCUGGAAAGCAUAGUAGUCACAUGGGUUGGUGUAAAUAUGAUAACCAAAUAAGUUACUUGGGACUAUAAGCCUGUCUGAGAACUAAAUCCAUCUGCUGAACAGAUUUGAGAAAUGAUGCAAAGAAAGUUAGACCGCAAAAUACCUGAAAUUCAAAAGCCCUGCUGACAAGAUUGAGACCAAAGCUGACAAGGUGCUGGAGGGGUAUGACAGUAUGCUGCAAAUCAAAACCAUCGGAUUAGAAUAGCGUUGAACAGGACUACCGUAACAUGUCCUUCAAACCAACAAGCUGUGAAUUGGCUUAAAAUCAACUUGCACAGCAUUUUUGUUUGACAAACAAGUCAGGAGUCAACAAAAGACAUAGAAAGGCAUGAAGCUAUUUAUAGAUAAUACUAAAUUGACUAUAUAGGAUACAAAGAGCACCUUAGCACCCAUUGCCAAUUGAAAAUAAAGCACACUAAAUUACAGACUAGGAGAGUGCAGGAUUGACUUGGGAAACUUUGGAAGGAUAAUUCUAAGAUGAGUAAUGAGAUAAGACAAUGAGUAGUCACAGCCAGAAGAAACACUUCAGUCAGCUAGCAACAGGACAAAAAGAAACGAAUUUGCCAAGUACAUAUAGGACCCAAAGGCCAUUAGAUCAUGCAAUCCAAGAGAUUCAAUACAAAUAAACGUUGUUUUACAACCCUCCACCCUGCAACCUUUUCAUUCGAUUCAUUUUGGCUCAUCUUUCUCCCUCUUUCUCAUCUCCCAUUUUGACCCAAUUGCAAUUGUUGUCACUGAAGCACACAAAUAUCCUCCUUUACCCACCUCUUUAUACACAUUCCUUUCCCUGACUAUUCUGAACCAUCUGCAGUAACCAACAUAAUCAUGCCUAAUAGACCAUUAUCCAACACCAACACAUGCAAGGGAUCUAUAGAAGCGGGUAGGCAACUAUAACGGGCAAGGAAGCUAAAGACGACUGAUGAUAAUUCUAGGAUACAAGAGUGGAAAAAUAAGGAAAGGUUACCGGCAUGUGAGCUUAGAAUGGGAUGGGUGGAUGAACUAGUAAGGGAUCUGAUAUUAUGGACAGUAGUAGUGGUUGAAGAAAGAUGGUUGUGGUAUAGAAAUAGAAAAAGUCGGAUGGAAUGGGGUACGGUGGUAGAUUGAGUGAACGGACAAAGGCAAGGGUGGGCAUGGCAGUGGUUGGGUCUGAUAAAGGGAAGGGUGUUCGAUAUGUGGGAGCUGGUCUAGUGCAAGGCAUAUAAAAAAGGACAGAAAAUUCAAUAUAUUGGAUUUUGUUCCUUAAGAAAAGCCAUAAAGAUAAGUGGUAGAAAGUAGAACCUGGAAUCUGAUUAAUUUGAUAGAAUCUCUCUCUCUCUCCCUCCCUUUCUCUCUCUCUGAACCAAUAAUCAGCAAUAUACCACCUUUCCAGCAUGACUGAAUGAUAAUCCAGCUUUCUUUUAUGAUAACCAAAGUUUUCAGCACCAACCUAUACCGCUCGAUGCCAUGUAUACCAUAUCAACCCGAUAAAGUACUACUACAUUAUGGAGGCUUGAUAUCGUACAGAAACAUGCUACAGAUGUUAUCGCACCUCUAGCACAAUAGAUUAUGUUGGUAUUAGAGGUGUUCCGUACCGAACUGACCAAUACUAGCAAGCUACCGGUACAAAGUCCCGUACCGAGAGUGAAAUCAUGAUAACAACAGGGCAUUCCAAUCAAUAUUACCGCAUCACAAGAAAAAUUUUGAAAUUCAUAACUUUCAGCUGACCCAUCAUAAAGAGUCAUGUGACAUCGAAAAAUUUCAAUAAUCCAUGUUCAAGGAAAAAAAUCUUUCACUCAUUUAAUCCAGUAAAUGAGAAUUUAUAAUCAUUAUAUUAUGUGUCCACAAAGAAACUAUCAUCAAUGAUAAAGGCAUGCACUGGUAGAUAUGAAAAGUCAUAAAAAUAACUUCUGAUAGAAACUAACUAAAAGAAACAUAAACUGAUAAAAAAUAAAUUUUGCAUGUAGAACUGAAUCUACGAAGAACAAAGAGAAGGAUGCCAAUGAUUACUUUAUAAAUAGAACAGCAAGUAACAAGGAGGUACCUGAAAGAUGAUGAGGCCAAUAAGUACUGGCUGAGUAUCAAAGCCAAAACUUUGAAAGAGAUCCUUUGAAUUCCUUACAAGAGUAUAUCCUCCAAAUUGCAAAAGUGUAAGAAUCUGCUCAACAAUGAAAAAUUAACUUCUGCAACGAGGAUAAGUAAAUUUUCAAUAUUCACAACUGCGUUUUAGUUAGUAUAAAACUCAGUGCUCUUCAAGUCUCAUAGACAAAUAUAUACAUAUAUGUAUUUAUGCAUGCAUGCAUUUAUUCAUGUAUGUAUGUAUGCAUGUAUGCAUGCAUGUACGUAUGUGAGCAUGUAGAUAUGCAUGAAUGUAUGUCUGCAUUUAUGUAUGUAUGUGUGUGCAUACCUCUUUGAUGCACUUCUACAGUAAAUAGUAGAGAUUUAUGUACUUGUUGCCUACCGAAGCUACAAAAGACACGGAUACCAGUGUCUGCACAUAGAAGGAUCAAGUGAUUUGAUACGAAUUUGAUACUCGAUAAUUGCAAGCUUGGUGCAUGACUUCAUUCUAGUAUCUAUCCAUGCAUUAACAUCACCUAAAGUUUGUAUAUAGACUUGGAAGGAUAUUAUAUCCAUCUUCUGAACAUGAAACUUAUUCAUUCUAGGAAGCAUGAUUAGACAUGAUAUAGUGCAGAAGUUAUAACGAAUAGCUAACAGGAUUACCUGAACAGCAAUGAAAGAAUACAUUGUAUGAUUGAGUUUCCAGUGUCCAAGUUCAUGAGCAAUAACUGCAACUACUUCCUCCUCAUUUUUGCACUGCAAAAAAGUCAUAUGAAUAUGGAUUCAGUAAUCUGAAUGAUAUACAGGUGCCCAAACAGGAACGGAAAUGGCAUUUCAACUACACACAUGCAGCUUGUCACCACUACAAGAGUAAAUGUGGUUGCAAGUUUGAUACGGAAUUUGGCAAGGCAAUGGCUAUAACAUUAAAUUGCAGAAAAGAAACAGUUGCUGAAAAUGUUGGGAUAACUUAGAAGCCUAAAGUGCAUAAAGUUGAUGCUUAUUAAAUACACACAUGCAUGCAUGCAUGCAUAUGCACUGCACAUAUAUCUAUAAUCCAAUAAACAUACAACUACAUUUCAAUGCCUAGAUCAGCUGAAAUGGAUAAUUGUUCUACACUUGCCUAGAUCAGCAUACUGCCAUUGCAAGCUAACAUACUUAAAACAAGAGGACCAGCUUGCACUGCUGGUAUUAUAUAUCUGCAGCAGAAAAUAUGAAGGUCCUAAUACUUCUAUUACUGCAUGCUGGUUGGAAACAAGCAUGAAUAUUAUCUUGUGAGAUCGUUUUGGUCAAGUUAUAAUAUGCAGACACAUAGUGCAAAUACCAAGAAAAAAAUUAAAAAAUAAAAAAGGGACAAAGGAGCAUAUGGCUAACUAGUAUCGUGAAUUCUUAACAUAGACUAGGCACUUCAUAGUUAAGUUUUGACAAAGAAAAGGAAAUGGGUGGUCUGCUUUUCUCCUUCUGUCAAAAAAAAUAACUUAUAGUUCCCCUAACGCCAAUCUGUCCAAAAGAAGUCCGCCACACUUGACAUAUAAUGUGUUUUGGAAUUAUAUGGAAUGGUGAAGAAAGUUUAGAUCUUGCACCACCACUCUGAUAAUGUUCCCUGCUCAUGGGAAUAGAAAGCAAGUUGCUCAUCACAGAAGAGUGGAGACUAAGAGUGGCAAUGACCAAAUGAAUCACAUCGGGGCAUCAAGAGUUAUAAUAGUCCAUACCACGUGGAAAUUUUACAUGCAAAGAAAGCCAAAAAGAAUCGUUUGUUGAGGCAUAGUUGAGAUGUUGAUAGGCACUGGCAUGAGAUGAACAUAGGAUCAGCAAAUAUCAUGAUGACAGCAUCUUCUUUUCAUGUUUGUCCAUGUGCACCACAAGGUCAUGGAUCCAACAGCUCCCCUACAGUGUCCUCAUCCCUCAUGUGAUCCGUGACUAAUUUUAUUGAUGGCCAUGAUCCCAACACAGUGAUGUAUCCAAUUGAAAGGAGACAUUGAUGGACAAUAGCGAUCACAUCAUUUACGAUCAUGCAAUGUGGUACAUGAUUCCAUAAAUAAUUGUCAUCAUGAUACGUACAAUGCAUGUGGUAUUAUUAUUUAUUAAGUUACCUCACAUCAUAAUACGAUCAUGAUGUGGAUGACAGCCACAUGGCAUGGAGUAGUAUCUAAUAGCCUUCACAAAUUGCAUUGCUUUCGUCACACACAUGGAAUGAGAGAGAUUUACACAGGCUGUUAAAUUCCCAUCAUGGAGUAUAUAUCGAGCUAAACCUGUUUCAAUCCAAAAAUGAAGAUGCCACCCAACAUGUGUGCGUGUUCAUUUUAUGCUCACCCUCAUCAAUAAUAACACCUAUUUCUCAACAUGCAAUUUUUUCUCCCUUUUUUUGUGGCAAUGCUGCAUUGAGUGUGGAUAAUUGGAGCUCUUAGAGGUCCCAUGAGAUGCAUUUGCUACGUGACAUCACUUUUUAUAUUUGUUUUCAUGGGAUGAGCAACUAGCUUUCUAUUCUCAAGAACUCUGUUUUAUGGCAUCUUACGAUGCUAAAAUCCCACUUCUAACAAUAGGUUCAAACCAUUUUGUUAUUGUUCUACCACGGCAUGCAAGGAUAUAAAAAUAUCAUGCAGCUUAUUCUCUUUAUCUGCAUAUCCUUUAGAAAAACAAAAUAAAAAAGGAACUCUCAUGUAAGACACUAAAAGAGUCCAUUAUAUAGUUCGCUGCUUCAUAGCACCUCUCCACAGUAGCCAAGUCUAAUGCAUGUUGGCUCUUUGUUGUACGACUUGCAUUUGUGAUGAUGAUCAUGGAGGUACAAGCAACAACACAGAGAAAACAGCAUAACGCUAAUAAUGCAGCAACAUUGACUCAAAGGUACUGGGUUCCAAGUCCUAAUAGAUGUUUCCUCCACUCCACCAGGAGAUUCGGCUUCCCAAGUCCUGGGAGUUGCUUUCACCACUCCUUGCCCUCCCAUUUUGUUGGUCCUGUAUGCAUCUAACAUAAAAAUUCUUUCGGUGUUAAUGUUAGUCAACAGUCCACGUGUCUAUGUGAUAGUUUUGGUGCAUCUUAUUAUCUAGCAUGUGUGCAUGAAGUCUAUGCCCAAUAAUGUGCUUAAUAGUGGCACAAUUUGUACUGAAUCAUAUUAUAAUGAUACUUCAAAAGGAUUAAGAGGAGAUACAAAUUAUAAAACAUUGUUGGUCUCUCUAGAUAUAAUAGAUUUCAUGGUAACUGCUAUAUGCUUUUGUUCUUCUGCAAUGAGGAAGUCUACAUGUGGAGUUUGAGGUGCUAAUGGUACCAUUUGCUUGACAAGUUCCUGCAACAAAUGUAAUGACCCAUUUUUUUGCUAACAUGCAUUAAGAAGGCUUACUUUUUAAGAUGCUUCGUUCUCUGACAAGAUAAAAUUCAACGAUAAAUAUGAAGUGGCACUCGUUUUCUAUCGACAGACUUUAGAGUUCUUCCUUUUGCACAUUAAAUUCAGUAAUUCACCAUCUGAGUGUUAAGCACUUGCAAAUGCACAUGACAUCUCAUAGGCAGUUAGUGAUUGAUUAUUUUUUAUAAAUAACUUUAAGGAUGCCCCUUUUAAACACUCCAAAAUAUAAUUCAUCUUUGUGAAAAUGAUUCUAUCAAUCCUUAAAGGAGCGAGGAGCAAAGAAAAAGAAGAGGGAUCAAUAUUUAGAUGAAGCCCAACAAUAAAAAGAAAGGUGAAGUGAAGAAUCUGAUUAUUUUCCAUCUAGUGCUCUCUUCUUUUGCUUUUAUUCUAAAUAUACAGAUUAAAAUCAUCUAUUUGUGUAGAAGGCAUUUAUAGCCAUCAGAUGCUAGUUCAAUAGCUAAGUAAUACUAGACCACUUCUUCAUAUGCACAUGAUGUCUCAUAGGCAAUUAAUAUUUGAUUGAUUAUUUUUUCAUAAAUAACUUUUCUACUCAAAGACGCCUACUCCAAAAUAAAGUUCACCUUUCACAAAAUAAGAGGGUUUCUAUCAAUCCCAGAAGGAGAAAGGAGCAGAGGAAAAAAGAGAGAUCAAGAUUUAGAUGAAGCCCACAACUCAAAGAAAAGUAAAGUGAAGAAUCUGAUUAUUUCCCAUUUAUUGCUCCCUCUUCCUUUGCUUUUGUUCUAAAUACUAAAGGCCUAAAAUCAUCUAUCAGUGUAGAAGGCUUUUAUGGCCAUUGGAUGCUAGUCCAAUAGCUAGGUAAUACUAGAUUGCCUCUUCUUCUCAUGAGUCUCUCUUCCAUAAGCUGAAGUAAGGUAAUACUAGAUUGUGUCACAUGAUGUAAGAUACUACUAGAUCAUGUCAGGUGGAGUCCAAGAAAUUGACCUAUGGCUUUUGCUACUGGUCAAGAAAUUCCAACCAAAUGACAAGCAGGACAAGGAUAAAAGUUAAGCAUGCAAGAAAAAAUUUCUUGAAUCGAACCCCAAGCCAGCCUAUCACCACCCUACUUGACUGAAAUCAGAGUUGAUCAAACAGUCUAAACGAAUGUUCCCUCUUUCCAACCAGCAUAAUCAAUCUAUAAUUGUAUAAUUCGUUCAUUCUCUCCCCAACCUGCACUGUCUUUCUUUCAUUUGCUGCCUAACUGAGAAAGAAAAGAAACAUCUCACGGAAGAGCAUACUCAGCUUGUUGGUUUAAGGAAGGUUAUUCGCUGGAUUUGAAAAGUGCAACUGAUAGAUGGUCUCUUCCGUUUUUGUAAAGGCAUUAUGGGCAUUUUAGACACAGUACAAAUAAAAUUCAAUCCCUUUUGAUUUCAAAAUUUUGCUUUAUCUUUUAUAUUUAUUCUAUUUCUUCGCUCUUGCUUAUGUUACAAUGGAAAGGAGCUUACUGAAUGGCCCCUUUUAUGAUUCUCAAGCAACAAGAUCCACUAUCUAAGUGCCAUCUUCUCACUAUAAUUCCUCCACUAGCACUUAAGAAGAGAAACUCUUUAUUUAGGCAUGUAAAUAAGAGAUUAAAUGAAAAGAGGCAGUCAUGUCAGUGGCCACCUUGAAUGGGGUCUCCUAAGGGUGGGCCACUCAUUUUCAAAUGCUCAAUAUUGAAUUUAACUGCACUCUCUGGAUUUCUCUCUCUUUGUGGUGACAAUGGUAGGUCUCUUGAUGGUGAUGACUCCACAUACAAAUAUUACUCAAAGUCUCAAACAUCUUGAGAUUGCUAGAAAGUUUAUUUUCCAACAUAAUCUACUCCUAGAAUUUCCCUUCUAUUCUCUAAUAUCUCCUCUAUACUAAUUAUCACUUUCUAAUUUUCCAUUGUCAACCUCAAAGACACUUUCUCCCUCCUGCUGUGACCCAGCAUAUCAAUAGUAAUUUCUUUAACAUGUUCAAUCCAGCAAACUUCAGCCUGACAGAAUUCAGCCACAGGACCAAAGUUGAUCUUAUUCUCUAACCUAAAUCACACCCUACAUACUCUAGGUCAACAUUCUUGAAUGUAACUGCAGUUUUUAUAAAAGAAACCUAUUUUUGCACAAGCCUGAAGGGAUAGAAGAAGCAUACUGAAUGUAGAACAGCCAAAUGAGGCAGGUCUUGCUUUGGGAGUUCACCAUCACUGAAAAUAAACUUAAUCAAUUUGACUGACUAGUCAGCACUCAGCACAAAGUUGUCACUUGAGUUAGAAGCAUCAUAACAAGCCUAGAGCAAUACAUUGUGAAUCUAAAAGGUUAAAACCUAGGUUACCAUGUUCCUAAGAGUUAUGUUAAAAUACUGUGAUUCAAAAAGAAUUUAAUUCCUCUAUUCUACUGAUAAUAACUUAGUGAAAAUAAUGAUUUCCUGAAAACAAAAACUUGGACCCUCUACUUAGUCCUUAAAUGUUGCACUAAAACCCUAAAACUUAUCAUAGCAAUAACUUUGAAAUUGCAAAACAAACUGUGAAUGACAAGGUGUUUUGGCCAACAUUAGGUUCCACAUACUAUACUAGUUUUUCCAGUGGAGAGAAAAAGCUGGUUACAAAGCUGCGCAAGCAGGAGGAUGAUAGAAAAACAUGCCUACGCAAGAAUGGGAUGAGAGAGAGGAUGGGAAGUAUUUGCACUAACAGAGUCCUACUUGAUAAUAUCAUGAAACAACUUACCUAAUGGUUAGUGUGAACAAGUAUCUAUCGAAAGGAAAGAAUAAAUUGUUAAAAUUAAAAUUGGUGAGCCAUUAGCAAAAGCAAGUACAAGAAAAUAAAUGUUUAUAUCGCAUCCUCAAGGAUGAAAUGGGACACAUAUUGCAGCAUCUGAAACAAAAAGUUGCAGCAACUAAAGAAAAAAAAACUUUUCUGAUAAGUACUUUAUGACUUGUAACCCAAAUUAAGAAGAUAUCAUACAAAAGAAUAAAAUGCAUAUAUAUACUCUUAAUAAAAAGACCGGACAUAAAGGUUUUUAUGUAUAUCAAACAAAAACCUCGAUAGUCAUCUUAUUAUAGCAAUGUUAUUUUGUUAUUUAUAUAACCUCAAAUAAGCAUACGCAUAAUUCGCAAGAUUAGAGCAAACCUGUUGAAUCAAUGUGUCAUAGAGAACGAUGCGUUUGUUGUUGAAAAAUCCAUACAUAUAUGCCUGUCAGAUAAAACAUAAUAAUUUAUAUAUAUAUAUAUUAAACCACACAUAAGUUCAUAGAAAUGAUACAAAAGAAACCCACUACAGAUAGCAGUGAAAACACUACAUAGAAAUGCCAAUGCAUGGGCAAUAAAAUGACAGCAAAAGAUGAUCGUUAAGACAUAAUGGCAGUUUGUGGCUCUACAAUGAGGGAGGAGCCUUCUCCUGAAAAACCCUCUCACCCCUAAAGCCCUAGAAAAGGCGGGAUUUGUGGCCAGGUAUCUAGUACCACCACCAAGAGACUUUUCUAGCAGGAUAUGCUGGCACCUUCCCCAUUAGAAGCUGUUCCAUAACAUAGUUAACAGCACAGAGAACUGAACAAGAACAGAUGAAAUGGACAGAUGUGACAUCUGCACAAAGCUAAUGAUGCGUAAUAGUGAGAACUUGCCAUGCAAAAGAAAUAGUAUUGAGUAUAGCAUAAAUCAUUCAGAGCGUGGAGUGCAAUAAGAUCAAUUUAUAAUUAUAAAUUAUAACUUCCUGUUGGAUUGGCUGAUUGUAUAAAGUAUCUGGGCACUUUUCAGACUUUAGAGAAUACCAAAUUGGUAAAUUUGGCAUUAAAGAUGGAAGAUAUUAAAGAUGAGAACAAUAACAAGAAUGAUGAUGAUGUUUUCAAUGACUAAAUGUGCCUGCCUGUGGUUUUUUAUGUUUCUUUGACACAAAUAAUUAGAACUGAAUUACUUUCCUAUUUCACACAAUUAUCAUGUUUAGCCAUCUUCCAUAAUUUUUUUAUGCAGCAUAAGAUUAUACUAAUAAUCAUCAAUAAUCACAGUAAUCAUCAAUUAUAAGGAUACUACUUCAUCAAUAAUUCUCUAUUAAAAAUCAUGAAAUCAAACUUUAUAAAAAAGAAAAAGAAAAAAGAAAAAAUGCUCACAUUGCUAUGGCUUGAUCUUGUAGAUCCAUCAACAACAAAGAGCUUUUUCAAUGGAAACUUAAGCGACGCUGCUAGCUUCUCUAUUUUCUUUCUAAGCUCUCCUUCAGGAAGCUGUUUAGCAUAAUUGCAUAAAAAUAUGAGGAAUAUGCACUUUGUAGUGAGCAGAAAGAUAUGAUAUCGACCUACUUAAGCACAAUGGCGAAAAUAUCGGUUGUGGAGAUGCAAGGAAAGAUGGGUAAAUAAUAUAUUUUCCUUUUUAUAUUGCAUAAAACUCAAUUGACAUAUAAAAGCAAAAAUGAGGUAAAUAAUUUGCUGUGUGGAAAACCAAAUACUCACAGGAGUGAAUUUAUUAAACAGAGGAGCUAUUAAAAUGGGAUACAGUGUCAUCAUUACAAUGGAGAGCACAAACAUAAAAGCCCAUAGAUAUAUUGCCAGGUAAGGACCUCCUUUCUGUAGCAAUAGAGGAAAGAGAAUUAGUAAAAUGAUGCAUAUUGCAGAUCAUUCUCUAAAUUAAUACAGAAGAAAUAAGGUUUGAAGUAAAAUGUUCUGGACACAGCAAACCACAUAAUAAGCAGGUGAAUGAAACAUCUUUGGAUGUACAAGUAUAUCCAAAGAUUAUGAGUAGUCAAUACCAGAAUGUCCAUACCUGUACUAUGACGAUAAUUGCAGCUACAAUUGGUGGUCCAAGUAAGAUUGAAAGGCAAAUUCCUUUAAACAUAUCCCUGAAGAAUAGCCAUAUUGUUUGCUGUUGAACAUUCAAUAAGACAGCUAAGAAUUAAAACAGUCAAUAAAGAUAAAAUAGAAGAACCUAAGGCAGAAGCUUGCUUGAGAGAAAUUCAGAAUUUGAAACAAGUGCAGCAUAGAUAUGAAGAGAAAGAAGAAGGUGGACAAACUUUAUUAAACCCGUGACGAGCCUCGAUCACAAAUGUUGAAUAAAGAGAAAAUGGCAGGUCUGUGAUCUGUAUAGUAGCAAGAAACUUGUCAGCCUAAAAAAACAUUACUCCCAAAAAGAUAAAAAAUAAGUUGAAACUUCGCCAUACAAUUUAUAACUCUCAACCAUCAUAAUUAACGAAAACAACUUUAACAUACAUAAAAUGCCAAGGAAGCAAAACGAAAAGAAAAAAAUUGUACAAUGAGGAUAACCUGAAGGAACCAAAUUGAUGCUUACAAUGACAAUGUGUGAUGCAUUUCCAUGGUUCCACAAUAAACAAAAUUGAAGUUCAGCAAUUAAUCAUCAAUCCACAUAAGAUACAUAAAAUGAUUCUUCUCUAACAAUAAAAAUUGGCAUAAACUUAACAUAAAUGCAUGUCUCUGUGUCGUGCUGUAAAUUUGCAGCUAUGCUAUCUAUUGUGGAUAUGAUACAAUAUAUAUAUCCUUGUCAAGAAUACAAGUCGAACUAGGUGACGCUUCCAUGCAAGGGUAUUCAUUUUUCAACAAAUUGUACAUUCAUCUGACACACAUACUUCCAGAGAACCCAGAACUAACUAAUUCUUGGAUAAUUGCUGACAAAAAUUUGCUUUUUCCACUGCACAUGAAUUAGGUGUUAUCCACAACUAAAAACAAAUCUCGAACCAAUAAAUUAAUUUUAACGGUCAAAGGUGGAUCUUUAUUGUUAAAAAAUAAAAAUCUCAAGGAUGCUCGAGCGUUUCAUAGAUGAGGAGGCUGUUAGGAAGGAAGUUCUGUUGGAUUCUUGCAUUAGCAGAAAGUUUUCAAUGCGUGCACAUCAUAACUGUUAAUAUUCCUAUUUAAUAUAUCAUUUGCUAGCAAGUUUUUUUGAAUAUAUCAUUUUCUAACAAGUUUUAUAAACUAAAUUUAAUGGCCAUUUUGGUCAUUAAGUUUGAUAGAUGGAAUCUUUUCACUGUAAUUCUCUCUUAUGUUGCAAUAAAGUAUAAUUAAGGAACCACUCAGGUAAAAAGAAAAGAAAACCUCAAACAUCCAAUGGAUUGAAAAUUUUAUGUGAAGAGCUGUUUUAUUUCUAUAAUUCAACAAUUUUGAUAGAUGGAAUAUUUUCAAUGCAAUCCUAUCUUAUGUUACAAUAAAGCAUAAUUAAGAAACCACUCAGGAGAAACAAGAAAACCACAAAGCAUCCAAUGGAUUCAAAAUUUUAUGUGAAGAGUUGUUUUAGUUUUAUAAUCAUAAACAUUAUUUUUAUUUUUACAUUGCACAUGCUCGGAUGUUGGCAUAGAUAAUAUAAUAUUAUUACAUUACUUCUACAUAAUAUAGUGAUCUGAAUUCUGAGUUGAAUGAAUGCAAAAUGGUCAAAGCCAAAGAAAUAUGAUAAAAGGAAAGUUAUUUUUUUAAGUCUAACUGCACAUUUAUCUUAUGAAUUAAGUUUUCAUUAGAAAAAGCGAGAAAGGAAAAACAAAUCAAGUAGACGAAUAAUCCUAGGCAAUUGCAUGAAGGAAGACAUAAGAAAGCACAUAAAGAUUUUAUUACACAUGUCAAGCAGAUAAAAAAAAUGUGAUAAAGGAUGAGUUGGCAAAAAAAGAAGGUUUCUCAAACCAAAUCGGCGGCAAGAAGGAUCCAUACUCAUAAUCUUGAUGAUGUCGGUAAUUGCCACAAUAGUUUACUUUUCUCAAAUAAGUCUAUAAUAAAACUAUUAUCCCCAUGAACAUUUUCGCGGACGCCCUAUCAAUUUGGCAUUACAAUGAAUGCAAACAUCAUGAACAUUAAGUAAAAUAUAUGGGAAGGUGCAAGGUUACUUUCUAACCAAGCAUGAAUAAGAAACUAACACGACACCAAUGAUGUUUCAUCAAUAAAAUGAUGUUUAGAUCAAUAUUUUCAGAUGGAAAAAUUCAUUCAGACCUGUGACCAAACCAUAACACCAGCUAAAAAUGAAAGUGUGUGUAUUAUUUCAUUCUCUGCAUUCAGGCCCAUGUAUGCCACUAAGUCUCCAGUUUUCUGCAAAAAAAAAGUAGCAAAAUGAAUUAUGAAUAUUUGGGAAGUGAAAAAUCUAAAACACACAUUCACAAGGCCUGCUAAGUUACCUUCCAAAACCAUGGUAAUAUGCCAAAAUACAAAAUUGCGGUGUCCAUCAGUAUACUCACAGCUUCAUGAACAAAGUGGAAGUGGCUGAAAGUCAAAAGACAUAAGAAGAGAGAAACUAAAAAUAAUAAUAAUAAUAAUAUCAAUCAUAAUAAUUUAAUGAAGGGAACUAUUUAGCGCAUCAAAACCCUAUUCUCAAGUAGAAGAAGCGAUGGUUAUUGAAUUAGUUCAAGAAUCAUAACUCAUUUGAGUAAAAUGCUAUUAAAAGAUCAGCCAUUAAGCACACACAAACACAGAUCUGCUGAAAAGAGAAUAAUCAUCAAUGAAGAAACCAAACCUUUUGUCGAGGCUAUAAGCUCGAGACCUUUCAAACUUUUCUUGACCAACCACACCUUCCAAUGGUUUCGGUAGGCUGGGCAGCUUGAGAGCUGCAUGCUGUCGAAUGUCUAAAUAGGUCUCCAAAAUGUACAUUAAGAUCAUAAAGCCUGCAAAAAGAUAUGUAUUCUCUAAGAUACAUGCUAGACAACCCUUGAAGUCAAGAACCAUAACCACAACCAUCAAAUCCUGUCCCAAGUUUUUAAUGUCAGCUUUUUAAUCUUUAUGAAUCUAACAUUUCCAACUUCUAGAUAAUAUCUAUCAUGAAACACCAUAAAUGAUGAAUCACCUGCUCCAUUGCUAUCAAAAAUUAUUUACCUUCUAUAAGGAACCAAAGGAAAGGUGAUUGCAUAUAUAAUAACCAUAUGGACACAAGAGAACAUAUUGCAGAGACAACAUUGUACAACCAUAUUAUACUGGUGCCAGCAUUCACUGCAUAGUGCCUGUAAUUUGAGUAGCUCAAAUAUGAACUUGAACUUGUCAAUGAUGAUCUGAAAGCAUCAUCAUAAGUUCGAAAAUAUGUUCAGUCAGAUUAGAAUUUAUCAUAUUUCUACAGAGAGUAGAAAGCACAUGGCAGUCAAAUUUUGUCCUAGAAAAAGGAUGUGUUCAUAUUCUUUUAAAUUGAUAAUGUUCUUUCUGCUUUUCUGACAUAAUUGGUCAAAGUUUCUUAAAAGGCUGUUGAUUAGAGUUCCAUAAGAUUUUGUUAAAAAUGUAUCUUAUAGUUUUUAUAUUUUAUAAAUAUGUUGUUUCACAUAUAUUCUUUCAAACAAAAAACCACGAUAAGAAUAUAUCCAUGUAGUAAUAUGUCAAAUUUAAUUUACAACACAUAUGCGCACAUAUACAUGGACAUAUAUGUACACUAUCUAAUAGCGCAUAGAUAUGACAUACAAUAGCAUCAAUAGUACUGCUGUCAAGAUUCUAUUCCAUUGAAUUUAAGGAAAAGUCCAGAUGAAAGUAAUUGAGAUAAAAUAUAUAUUAAAUUUCUAGCACCAGGGCUCCGUUACUAUUAGUUUUCUAACUUUUAUUCAUGCAAUUUAUUGCCAUCAGAUCUAAGUAAGACCGAAAAAACAGAGGCCCUUAGGUUUUUUUUCCUUUUAAAGACCAUUGAUCGUUGUAUUAAGAAAAGCAAAUUGUAAACAGUCAAGUAAUGUCCACUAAUGCUUGGUUUCUCCUCCCUUAACUUUUCUGCUCAUGCUCCCCCAUCCUCUUCCCCUACCUCUAUUCAAGAACACCCUUCUCCACUGGCUCUACUUCUUUGCCUCCGUCCUUCACAUUCCCCCAUCUCUAGCACCAUCGCAGCAGGGAAUUCGUUUCUCCACCCAACGACAAGCUUUCUCCCUGUCUUGCUCUAGUCCCUUUCUUGCUCUAUCUCCAUUCUUAUAGACAGGGAAUAGGACUGCCACCACCAACAGAUUGGAGAAUAGACUGAUAUGGAGUGGGAUCGACAUGACUUAUCUGAGACAGAGUACAGAUGAAUAGCUAUGAUUACAUGAAAUGUUUGGGACUAGGCUAAUUUAAAAUCUGAUUGUUUUCAAUUUAUGUUAAAUCUAUUGAUGCAUGUGACUAAUUGAAGGAAAAUUAAGAACUACCUGAACUAAAUUGAAAGGGAUAUUUGUGGUUGGCUAUGAUCCCAUUAGUCCAUCAUAAAUUCAGAGGCCAAGCUCAUUUGAUUUUACCAUAUAAUUUUACUAAUUUAUUUAUUAUGAGUGUUAUAUGGAUGCAUAUUUUGAAAUUAUGUGGGAUAAUAAUUGAAGUGGACCAUGAUCUAAAAAACAAAUAAUAUUAGAAAGUAGUGUCGUAUUAAAAAUCAAAGAAGACUAAGAUCAAAUGAGUUCACGCCAUCAUGAUGAAAAAAAAUCCAUGUCGAGCAAAACAAAAAAAAUUCUGCAAUAAAUGUCAUGGAAUCUUAUUAUCAUUCGGAACAUAAGACAAUCAUGCUCGAUCCCUUCCAUAAAUUACUAGUAAAUUAUAUAAUGCUUCAGUUCACAAUUUAAAUUGAAAGGGUACAAUCUAUUAAAAAAACAAGCUUGUUAUUUAUUCUAUAAUUUUGCUGCAAUAAUUAAUUUAAUUGUUGACAAUGAAAAGUGGUUUGAAGAUUCAUGGAAGUCUUUUUUUCCUUAAAAUUUAUUGUUUAAAUUGCAUGAAACAUUGUUUUCCAUGAAUGCCAUUUUUAAUAAAGAAAAAUGUCUAAACUCUAACUAACCACACAGACAAGAAUGUAGAACUUAAUGAUCAUCAGAUUGAAAGUCCCAUGUACAUUAUUAGUAAGUGACAGCUAGGUUCAACUGUUUUAGUACCUUUCGUAGCAUUAUUCCGACCUCGAGACAUCAUUCACUUGCCCAUCACAACUACUUUUAGGCAGAAUCCUACCCUAACCACUUCAACCAUGUGCGUGUGUGUUUUAUGAUGGAGUACCAGGCAAAUUAAACAGUGCAAAACCCCACUGAGAUGGUUAGGUGGACUGCCUAGGAAACCACAAUAGAAAAGAAAAGACAACAUAAGUAAAUCAACAGUCUCAGCAGCAAGACCCGUUAAGCCAGGUGAUCGACGGUGCCAAACUGCCAAUACAAAAGGAGAUUCUUUGAGCCAGGUGAUUGAUGGAGUUAAUACAUAGUUCAUCACUCGCUCACAUUAUUGAAAGAUCCUUCAACAGAUUCUUGACCAUCAUUUUAUGAAACCCCAAAUAAACUUUCUUGAAAGAGACGGACAAAACAACAUAACGGAAAAACAGAUAAAUUCAUACAUUCAUAACAAAUUAAAUCAAUACCCCAAAAGCACUACCUGACAAAAACCACAAAACCCAAGAAAAGAGAAAAAUCAAAUCAAGAAUACAGAAACCAUUAUCACCACCACCAUCAUCAUCAUCAUCAACCAGCGGAUGAAUCAACGAAGGGAGAAAAGAUUAGGUGAAAGGAAAAAAAAGGAUAAAGAGCAAGAAAAACUUACCCAAAACCGCUUCCAAGUAAGGAAGAGCCAUUAUGGAGGAGGAGAAGAUCAGUGCAGUGUGUUACUACCAGUGGUUCCGCUGCUCCACAACCGACGGGUAANNNNNNNNNNNNNNNNNNNNNNNNNNNNNNNNNNNNNNNNNNNNNNNNNNNNNNNNNNNNNNNNNNNNNNNNNNNNNNNNNNNNNNNNNNNNNNNNNNNNNNNNNNNNNNNNNNNNNNNNNNNNNNNNNNNNNNNNNNNNNNNNNNNNNNNNNNNNNNNNNNNNNNNNNNNNNNNNNNNNNNNNNNNNNNNNNNNNNNNNNNNNNNNNNNNNNNNNNNNNNNNNNNNNNNNNNNNNNNNNNNNNNNNNNNNNNNNNNNNNNNNNNNNNNNNNNNNNNNNNNNNNNNNNNNNNNNNNNNNNNNNNNNNNNNNNNNNNNNNNNNNNNNNNNNNNNNNNNNNNNNNNNNNNNNNNNNNNNNNNNNNNNNNNNNNNNNNNNNNNNNNNNNNNNNNNNNNNNNNNNNNNNNNNNNNNNNNNNNNNNNNNNNNNNNNNNNNNNNNNNNNNNNNNNNNNNNNNNNNNNNNNNNNNNNNNNNNNNNNNNNNNNNNNNNNNNNNNNNNNNNNNNNNNNNNNNNNNNNNNNNNNNNNNNNNNNNNNNNNNNNNNNNNNNNNNNNNNNNNNNNNNNNNNNNNNNNNNNNNNNNNNNNNNNNNNNNNNNNNNNNNNNNNNNNNNNNNNNNNNNNNNNNNNNNNNNNNNNNNNNNNNNNNNNNNNNNNNNNNNNNNNNNNNNNNNNNNNNNNNNNNNNNNNNNNNNNNNNNNNNNNNNNNNNNNNNNNNNNNNNNNNNNNNNNNNNNNNNNNNNNNNNNNNNNNNNNNNNNNNNNNNNNNNNNNNNNNNNNNNNNNNNNNNNNNNNNNNNNNNNNNNNNNNNNNNNNNNNNNNNNNNNNNNNNNNNNNNNNNNNNNNNNNNNNNNNNNNNNNNNNNNNNNNNNNNNNNNNNNNNNNNNNNNNNNNNNNNNNNNNNNNNNNNNNNNNNNNNNNNNNNNNNNNNNNNNNNNNNNNNNNNNNNNNNNNNNNNNNNNNNNNNNNNNNNNNNNNNNNNNNNNNNNNNNNNNNNNNNNNNNNNNNNNNNNNNNNNNNNNNNNNNNNNNNNNNNNNNNNNNNNNNNNNNNNNNNNNNNNNNNNNNNNNNNNNNNNNNNNNNNNNNNNNNNNNNNNNNNNNNNNNNNNNNNNNNNNNNNNNNNNNNNNNNNNNNNNNNNNNNNNNNNNNNNNNNNNNNNNNNNNNNNNNNNNNNNNNNNNNNNNNNNNNNNNNNNNNNNNNNNNNNNNNNNNNNNNNNNNNNNNNNNNNNNNNNNNNNNNNNNNNNNNNNNNNNNNNNNNNNNNNNNNNNNNNNNNNNNNNNNNNNNNNNNNNNNNNNNNNNNNNNNNNNNNNNNNNNNNNNNNNNNNNNNNNNNNNNNNNNNNNNNNNNNNNNNNNNNNNNNNNNNNNNNNNNNNNNNNNNNNNNNNNNNNNNNNNNNNNNNNNNNNNNNNNNNNNNNNNNNNNNNNNNNNNNNNNNNNNNNNNNNNNNNNNNNNNNNNNNNNNNNNNNNNNNNNNNNNNNNNNNNNNNNNNNNNNNNNNNNNNNNNNNNNNNNNNNNNNNNNNNNNNNNNNNNNNNNNNNNNNNNNNNNNNNNNNNNNNNNNNNNNNNNNNNNNNNNNNNNNNNNNNNNNNNNNNNNNNNNNNNNNNNNNNNNNNNNNNNNNNNNNNNNNNNNNNNNNNNNNNNNNNNNNNNNNNNNNNNNNNNNNNNNNNNNNNNNNNNNNNNNNNNNNNNNNNNNNNNNNNNNNNNNNNNNNNNNNNNNNNNNNNNNNNNNNNNNNNNNNNNNNNNNNNNNNNNNNNNNNNNNNNNNNNNNNNNNNNNNNNNNNNNNNNNNNNNNNNNNNNNNNNNNNNNNNNNNNNNNNNNNNNNNNNNNNNNNNNNNNNNNNNNNNNNNNNNNAACGGAGGAGGAGGAAGGGGGGGUGUAUGAGAAAAUCUCAAGGGCAAUAUGGUAAUUACACUAAAGGUUAGUUUGGGUAUUUUUUUUUUGGUUUUUGGGGGGUGUCCUGAGCAAUAGGGGGGGUGUAUAUAGAACUACCCCUUCUUUUCUUGUUUUUUUAUGAUUGAAGGGAAAGCGAUGGUGAUCGUAAAGUAGGGUCCGGGUUCAAAACAGCCGGCGUAAAAUUCUAGCGGACGUGAACGCAGGCGAACCCGCUCAGACCAACUCUGGCGUCUUAUGCACGCGGUCGGAUGUUACCUUCAGUCCGGCCCGCUUGUGGGUCGUCGGGUCAAGAGUUUUAGGGAACGCGAUCUCAUUAGCCGCCUAGAGAUGGAAUGAGGAUGGCCAAGCUCUUCCAGCCGCUGCAGUUCCCACUUCCAAUGGAUUCACUGCCUACGGCGGAAGUAAUAGGGGCUUGGUAUGGGUUGAGAUCAGCCGUGAUAAAUUUUCAAUAUGACAGAAUUAUUUUAGAGAGAGAUUUGCAAAUUGCGGUGGCUUGGAUCAAUGGCAAUGGCUCCUCUUAGCAUCCCGUACCUCGAAAUAUUAGAACUAUAUGUGCCAUUUUUUUUCAAACUUUUCCUAUCGCCAUAUCAUGCGGUGGGCAGCUGAUCUCAUAAGCAUAAAGCAUUCACUGAGAGUUUUUCCAGUUAGUUUGUGUGAGCAUCCAUACGGACGUAUAUUUAGUCUCACAUCGAUUAUUUGCCGAAGAAUUUUUGAAUAACUAAAAAACCUCAAAAAUAACUUUCGAUUAAUUUUUCUGGAUGAGAUUCUAAGUUGUUAUAAAUGGUAUCAAAGUGAACUCGGCUCAUAGCUUAUGUGGACUAGGAGAUACAGAGGAUGUAUGUGAGGAUUUUUAUGUUUUUCUUUCAUAAGAUUGCAUGUAAGUCAUCACUCUUUUUACCAAAAACAGAUGGAAGAGCAUGUACUUGACCAAAUGUUGAAAUUAUAUCAACCAUCACGGUGUCUGGCAUUAAAUUCCUAGCUGCAUUUUCUUUAUUAUUUAGCUCCUCCUAGCUGCUUGAAGAUCAGAAGCAAGGACUGCCUAUUUUUACAAAUUGCUUGUGCUAGAAAGACCUACUCCUAAAGAAGCUUGGUUGGCUUGCAGGAGGCUCUCUAAGGACCAAACCCGCCAAUCCCUUGGACUAAAAAGAAGACAAUCUGGUCUCAGCAAGUCGUAAAGGUCUAAGUUGGUGACCAACGGAAGCCAUAAAAUGAAUGGUAUAGAGAUUGCAAAAUUCUUUGGGAAGAAAAGACAAGCAUGUCUAAGUUGGUGACCAACGGAAGCCAUAAAAUGAAUGGUAUAGAGAUUGCAAAAUUCUUGGAGAAGAAAAGACAAGCAUGUCUUGCGCUUUGCGAAGGAACGGAAAGGCAGGCGAGACAGAAUGGGUGGGCACUGCUAAAAAAGCCAAGCCUUUUUCAGGAGACUGCUUAAUAACAUCCGGCAUGAAGUAUUUAUAUCUUAGCUACUUAGAGGGCAUGUGCUUAUGCACAUGUACCCCCAACAAUUAAAAAGUAAUUAUUUGUAAAUUUAUGAAAUCCAUGUAUAAAGAAAAGGUUUUAGAUCAAUGAAUAAAAAUAACUAUUGUUUUAAUCCAUCCAAAAUGAAUUGUUUAUAUUCGAGAUUUUUUUAUUGAAAUAAUUGGUCAGUAAUGAUUUAUAGAACCGAUCACAAAUAGUUGAGGGUUAUGGUAAUGGUAUAAAAAUCCGGUACUGCAUGGAAAAGAAGAAGACUUUAUGAAGCAACAACAAGAACAUAUAAUAUAAUUUUUUUCAGCUUGCAUGAGGACAUAUAUUGCUUGGAGAUAACUGUUGAAGCCCUGAACGACAUGAGACGCUGCUCACUUCGGUUAGGAUCAAGGGAUAACACGCUUGGUAGUGCAUACUGAAGGUGGACACAUAUUGUUGCAAGGGAGGUGCCUAAAAUGAAAUAGCCAAAAAUUGGCAGUCUUAUCUGAUGAUGUCUUGGAAUCAAAGUAAAAGAAUUCUUCCGGACAACUCUAUCUUCCAGACAUCAGGUAGAAUUUAGAAAUGUGCUUAGAAAAAAAAAUUCAUGAUAGAACAAGGUGGGGUGUCAAACCAACAGUGUGUUACUUGCAUGCUAGCCACAAUUCUGAUAGGUUGUCUAUUUAGAGAUGGAGUUUCGAUUUGUAAGUAUUCCAUAUGAUGUAACUUAAUCAAAAGGAGCUAUCGACAAUUGGCUGUUGCAGUAGUCACAGGUUUUAAAUUUUCAUAUAAAGCAGUUCCAUUUUCCAGUUUUCUCAAAUUUGAAUGCCACCCAGUAACAAGCAUAGAGGACCACAUUAAGCAACAAUCAAAAGCCAGUGGACUUCUUUUCUCAUAUCACUCCCUCAUCUUCAGAUGAGAUUUAAGAGUCAUCCUUAUGUUAAAAGUAAAUUUUGAGUUUGUUCAAUCAUAUCAGAAACUAUGUUUGGCUGCAGUUCUUCUCCAUAAAUAUAUGUUUUAUGGUUGUUGUUUUCAUGCACUUUUCUUUUAUUAUUGCUGGAGUAAACCUGUACGUACUCUAUUCUCUGCUUGAGAUAUAUUUGUCAUCGACUGCAAUUUUAGGUCUUCAGGAUUUCCUCCUUUGCAUUUUUUUUUUAAUUGGUCUGUUCCAUAACAUGCAGGGAUAUGUACAGGUGUCAGACGUGGAGGCAGAAAGAGAGCAGUCGCACUCCCAAAGGGUAUUGUUUGUGGGAAGCCCAAGAACCAGAGCAUUACACGAAUGAAGUUAUAAAGAGACGAAACUAGAGGUCAGUCUCUGAGGGGAUAGCUGCUGGUCGUAUGUUCGGAGGACUGAGGGUGCUUAAUUCUUACUGGGUUAACGAGGUUAGAUGACUCAACCCAACAAAAUGUCACAGAAUUAAUAUCCGUUACCAUUUUAUUUUACGCAUCUGUCCUUGUAUUUUGGGCUAAAGUAAUGCAUGUACCUCAUUUCUCUUUAAUCCUUGAAGGAUGGAACCUAUAAAUAUUUUAUUUUAUAAGCAGUUUUACUCCGUGGACUGGCGAGAAAUACCGGGGUCUCCGUGGCAAAGGCCACAUGCAUCACAACGGGAGGCCAUCUCGUAGGGCAACCUGGAAGAGGAACCACACGAUGUCACUCCGCCGAAAGUUUGGGCUGCAUUUUGGUAGGCAUUUGUGGUUUUUAUUAGCUUCAAUCUCAUCAAAUUUGUGUCCCAAUUCAGGAUUUUACCCAAAAAAAGUUAAACAAAAGAUAUUAUUUAGGUUUCUUGGCCUUGUACAAGUACCCAAGGUCUACCGGUGCAUAGCCGAUAUGGGGGCUAUAAGCAUGUCCGCACGGAUUCUCACAUAUUUUCUUACUUAAGCUCUAGCAUUCUCGUCACGUUAAAAAUCUAAAUCUAUUCAAAAUCUAAUCACGAGCACCACGAUUAAUCUAUGGUUAGCCUUCAUGAAUCGGUGUUACAAUGUCUCCUAAUUCAUAUAGGCUAUGGGUCAAGUCCACUCUGAUAUCAUUUGUCACAAUCCAGAAUUUCACCCAAAAAAGCCAGACGGAAGGUGUUAUUUAGGUUCUUUAGUCCUGUACAAAUACCAAGAUCUAUGCAAUGCAUAAUCAAUAAGAAACUAAACACGCAUCCAUACAGAUCCUCAUACUUUGUUCAACUAUUGCAAGCGUCAAAAAUUAUGUAUCCAAGAGUUAGUAUGCCUUGUCUGAUGCACUGUUGUGGUGGUGCUUUGCUGGAAUCAUACAUUUGGUUCAAUCUUUAUUGUAAUUAACAUCUCAGUGGCUACCAUACCUUGCCAAAGGCUGAAAAUUUAACAAUAUCAGUAUCUCGAAUACGAAUAAAGGCUAUACCUUUAUUAUAUACUAUAUUAUUUUAUUGGUUGAGAACUGUGCCACAGAAAAAGUAAAAAAUAACGAUUUUUUAUAAUUAUUGGUACGUUACUGAAAAUAUUUAAUUAUUUAUGUAUAUGGCACGAGCAUGACGAUUGCAUUUUUAUUUUCCCUGCAUUUAUAUUAUGAUUUAUGUUUUGCGUUAUCAUCAACUUCAAGGACAAUGCUUCCUUGAAGGAAUUUUGGUGCCUUUCUUCCUAUGCGUGCGUUACAGUGGAGAAUGCUUGUUUUUAGUUUUGGGCAAUUGCUAAGGCAUAUUAUAAUUUUCAUCAAUGUGUGUUUCCUUCAGAACGGCCACUAACGGUGUUCCCAGUUUUAGCAGACAAGCAUCAAUGGAAACAAAGUGCUAACCCCUAUCCGAUAAUUCCUUGUACCGUAACAUCCAGCUUCCAAUGACUUUCAAGUGCCGUCGCUUUUGGACUAUAAUAAUUGCCUGGAUACCAACUAACAUUUAGAGAUGCCCCACCUCACAUUGAAACCAAAAUCUCCGGUUCCCAAGCAGGGGUAUGAGCAUUGGGCAAACCCCACUUCAACAAUGCAGCCGCAUCAUCAAACUACUACAAUCUUUUGCAAAAGUUCGAGACUGUAUUCCGGUUUAACCUUUGGUUCCAUAAAGGAUGUACCAUGAAAUGUUAGUAGAUUAAAUCUGGGUAGUUGUUUCCUCUGCCUAUUUCCUCUUUGACCUACAUACCAUUUCUUCUUGUACUUCGAAUAUUGCUGAGUAUCAUGGACAAGAGCCAUUGUCAUAACAGCCUAGAAGGAUCUUCCAGAUGGAAAUUAAAUGCCGAUAAGUGGUAUACAACCAAAAACCCGUUAAAAUUCAAUCUAAGAAAGGAAAAAAAAAUACACUGGAAUGCUCUGAGAUGUGCAACAUAUCACAAAUGGGAAUUCUACUUCCCUGUUUAUUAAUUCAUCCAUUCAGAAACUAUAACUAUUCACAUACACCACAUGCCUGCAAAGCAUGCAACAUCCAUCGACCAAAAAAAAAGAAUGGUCAUCAAGACUGCUAUAUGAUGAAGAUAUCAAGGUAGGAGUAGGCACACUGGACAUAUGAAAAAAAACCUAGACCAUGUGAUGAAGCUUAGUUGGAACCAUCUGCAAAGGCACCUCUAAGCUGCUUGGAGCCAUGAGCAGGAGUCAAAUUAUCCGAGGCAGCCCUUUUUGGUCUCAACUGCAUAAUAGAUAAAGCAUGAGAAAUUAAGGACACAGAGCAGAUGUAGAAAUGUGCUUAAAGAAUAUCUAAGAUGUAGCUUCACCUUUUCCUCUGGCUUCUGAUAGAAUUGUCUCAAAAGGAUAUUUCUGGUUUCAGUUGAUAUGACUACAAAGAGGGACAAAAAAGGCUGUUAAAACUGUUAAAAUGGGAAAUAUCUGCUCAGUAAUACAACAUGACAUCAAUAUUAUGCCUCAAAUUUCAGAGAUCAUGAUGAAAUUCAAAGCUCUGACGCUAACAGCGACGUAGUAAUUUUUAAAUAUUAGAGAAUUGUUGUAAACAUGUGAGCAUGCAACAAAAUUGAGUUCUAUUGACAUAUGUGAGUGUUGGGAUAGGAUAGCUGGAUAUGCACUGAUCCAGGCAGAAGAAGAUUGAAACUGGAAGGAAGAUAUUGGAGAUAGUCUUUCACAAGGCUUAGCUCAGCAAAACUAGGCAGUCUGCCCAACUCAUGCUGCUUGACUGUGCUCAGGUAGGUUAGCAUAUGUAAAAUGCAAUUAUAUUCUCAUUAUUUAGUGCUCUGUCAAACUAGAAUGUCCUAGUUAUGUUGACCUUAUGUAACAUAAGAUCUCAGAAUGAAUGAAGAUUUGCAAGUCAAUGUGCCCAGAAGAAUAGGGAUGAGUUUAGUAUAUCCAAAUAUGGAUAACAAUAAGAAAACACGAGGUUGCUCCAGUCAAUGUUUCUGAAUCCAAGCAAUUGUUUAAAAGCCGCAAGAAGGAGAGAAGCCAGUCCUGGAUGGGGAACAAUGUCUCUGAAAAACAAGGAUCCUGAUCUACAUAUGGAUGACCUCUUUUAAUAUCUGAAACCUACAUUAGCAAAUCCCUACCCUUUUUCCCUUCUGUCCUAAUCAGAAAUAACAAUAUGAAGAUGAAUAAAGUAUUGGAAAUAGGAGCAGUAUCUAACUCCUAGACUGACGAAAUGCUACAAUUUCGAUUAAUGGCUAUUUCUUUAUUGCUAGAAAGAGGAACAUGCAGCUUAGCUGAAAUAUCUCUCAGAGCUAUGUUGGAGGACAUGGAUACUAUCCAAAUACCUGAUAAAAAUAUCUACAUGGGCACAAAAGUUUGAAUCUCCACUUUUUUGCAGGUCCACUGCCCAACCUUGUCACCUUUCCACUGCCUAGUCAAAUGUUGGAGAGUAAUGCAAUUCCAAAUGGUGGAUAACAUAUGAUGGAACAUGUGCUUGGAAGAUAUAUAUUCCCAUAGAGAACUUUUAGUUAAGGCACUGAUAUAGGAGAGUAAGUACAGAAUACUUAGAACACUAGUUUGGGGCAUGUGAAGUGCACGUGAAUUAUUUAUGAAUAAAUAAAUUAUAAUGUAAUCUAAUCCGUCAUCAUUAGACUAAUACUACAUCCAAGUAAUGUUGAACAACAUUUCCUCCAGAAACUGGCAUGGGAUAGAAUUUCCAUCUUCCUACCUCUGGAAAAUCAAACCUUGCUCUUCAUGUACGUACUUGCAACCUCGGGGGUAAGUAUGUGAUCAGUUAAAAAGAUUUUUUGGAUCGUGUAUACCGUGGGAGAGCAAAAAUUCAUAGCAGUUCCCAAGGCAAGGAAAUGCAGAUAAAUAAACAGUAUGCUCCGCUACAGCCAGUGUUGCGACUGGAUCGGCGGAAUAGACAAAAGCCACUGCUGAAGCUUUGGCUUGGUCAGCUGGAUUAACGACUGAAUCUAGACCUGGAUCUACUCAUGCUAGCUUUGGAUCUUCCAUACAUAUCCGGCUACUUGUUUCGGUGGCUACGGAAGCAAGCUAGGGAUGCUACUGGAUGUGCUGAUACUACUACCGCAUAUGCUGCUGACUAAGAAGCUAGCCUUUGCAUGAUUGGGCGAUGGGGGUGUCGUCUCAUCUACGUACUGAUGGUACUUUUCAUCAGACAUGCCCCUUGCUAUACCUUGUUUGCAUACGAAAUUGAUUCUCGAGGUUUAGCUUAACAAUGUCUUGGUUGGAGCUAUGGGGUAUACCUAUAUCUUUAUAUACGGCAAUUCCGCGCUAAAGCCCUUUCUUAAGGCAGUUCAAUCGCUUUGACAUGAGCCCACAGUGCCAAUGGUGAAGGAGCUUUCAAUCGAAAGCGCAUAAAUUCUGGCACGAUCCUAUGUGAAGCUGAUUUUCUGUCCAACCAUUUCAACUUCAAACUUCUUGAAUUAAGAAAGGAAUAGAACUUGGGGCAACCUAUCACUCAUCAAAAACUGGUUCUAUGGCCGAUCGACGUAACUGAUCUGGGAGUGCCAAAGAAGGAAAAUUCAGACUCCGAUUCGGAAGUAGCGAAUGCCUCGCUCGCCAAGCCCAAACUUUCUUAGAUUGAGAAAAGGAAUGAAGAAGAAUGCUAAUAUGCUAAAGGUAUCUAGAUUGAGAAAAGGAAUGAAGCUAGUUUGGGAGUAAGCCAUAUCAGAGGAGCUUUUUGUUCUCAUUACAGCUGACAGUAAUGGUUCAGUAUAUCAAAAGUUAACUACAUGGUAAUAUACUAACCCUUUCUACCAAAAAAGAAGCUUCUGUUAAAUGAAAGGCUGUGCUAAAAAAGACUGGUACAUUAUGUAUUCAAGGGGAAAACCAUAGAGCAUCCGGUAUUACUCUCAGAAACAAUCACAAAAAGAUCCAGAACUGCAGCUAAGAGGUGAGAAUCCACGUGGCAAAGGCUAGGGCAAUUAAGUAGGUCUCAUACAUCUUCACAGAGAAAGGAGAACAUCUGCAUAAAGUCAGGUUCAAUAAUAGAUAGUCUUCUUUUUGCAGAUGCAAAUUAUUAAGAAUAAUAUCCUGCAGGUUGUUAAUAAUGGAUUCAGAUAGUUUAAUCUCAGUUUUUAAUGGCGAGAUAACAUACUCGCGCAAAAGGAAACAACCCAGUGGACUGGCUUGACAAUUGGGAAGAGAGGCUGCCAAAAAGCUGAGGAGGAAUGCAAAUUUUUUUUAGGAUUUUCAGGACCUUGAUGCUGAAGGCAACUCAAUCAUGCAUUUUUAAGCAAAAAAAAAAAGAAGUCUUUUUUCUUUAAAGAAGAAUUUUUCCCUUGUUAGUUCCAUGUGGGGAGUACGAACCCUUGAGCCAGAUGGGUUAAUUGAGACAGAUUUGCAUCUAAUUGUUGAAGCAUGAAUCAUCUGAACAUAGACUACUUUGGACAGUUAGCAUGUUUGCAAUCCUCCUCCCCCCCCCCCCCAAAAAAAAAAAAACAAAUAAUAGGUGCUUCAAUAAAAGCACUUGUAUCCUAUUGUAUCUUUUUUUUUUUUUGGAAUCAAAGACAAGGGCAAUUAGAUAUUUUACAUGUCAUGGUGGUUGAGAUAUAUAAGCAAUUGCAUGAUUUUUUUUCUAAAUAGAUAGGAUCUAAAAUCAAUUUUUGCAGCAAUGUCUCAAAACAAGAGCCACUAAUAGCUAAUUCUCUGAGAAGAUCAUUGAAAUUACCUUGAUUAGGCGGGGGAAGAGUCCUGCUAUGAGUAGGAUGAUACGUGACAGGCGUGAGUUUCUGAAAAUAUACAUGAAAUUGUUACAGAAAAACACAAAAAGAAAAUUCUUUGAACGGUUGUGCAAAAAAUUUAAUCUCUAAGUCUAGCAACAAAAGUUACAGAUCAACAGCCAAGUAUGUGAAUAAUGUGCACAAGAAUGACUAACAGCCCCUUCAGUACACCCUACAUGCAAUUAAAGAAAUUGUUAAUAUCAUUAUGUGGGAUGACGACCGACAAGUCAGGAAUGUCCACUGUAUGGAACUAAACUUGGAAACAUCUUGACUAGAAAAUUGCUUCCAUUAACAUACAUAGCAUUGGAUAUCAGAAAAUAUGAACAGUAACACCCUAAAAGAGCCAUUCCUUGCUCAUUUCCCACUUCAGUCCACGUUAAAAUUAAUAAUGGCAUAACCAGGAUGCCCUAAACAAUUGGUCUCUAUCAACAUAUAAAGUUCCCCUGUAUCCAAACACCAUAACAAUGGUUAAAAAUCAUAGAAAAACCCACAUGCCAUGUCAGUUUCAUUCCUUCUCUAAAUCAUUUCUUAACUUUCUUCCUAUUAGAUUCAGCAUUUUAAUAGAUUCAAUUAAUGAAGACUCCUUAUUUCUCUUCCCCAUCAUCUACUUAAUUCUCUUUUUCUUCUGUUGUCCAACUGGUGAAACCACCGCCCCCCUCCCCACCUCCUAGAAAAUCUAGGGCUCGUUUGGUUCACGGAAAAAGAAGGGGGGGGAAGUGUGGUCAACGGAAAAGUAAUGAGAUGCCUCUUGUUUGGUUGGAGUUUUCAAAGGAAAGAGAUGGAAAAAUUAUAUUCCCAUGGAAAUAUGAUUCCCAUGUUUCAUGGAAAAGUUUUUUCCAUGAGAAACAUGGAAAAAUUACUUUCCCAUGGGCCGGAAAUCGCUCUAUUUUUAUUUUUUUUCCCAAAAAAUCCUUCAGCAUUAAAUAGGCAUUAAAGACCUAAUUUUUAUUAAGAGUAUAAUAGGAAUUACACAUAACUUUUCUAAAAAAAUAGAUGGUCAACCAAACAUAAGCACUCUGCAAAUCUGUCACUUUCCUAUUAUCAACCAAACAUGCCAAAAGUACUUUUCCAGACAUUUUCUUCCUAGAAAUCUGCUUCCUAGGAAUCAUAUUCUUAGGAGUAGAUAUAAUUUGAUCGUUAUGAACCAAUCCAAAAUCGUUGUGGACCGAACCAAUCAUUAGUUCCCAACCAUGGGUCGAAUGAAAUCCGAUCCAUAAAUCAGCAACUAAAAGAAUCAAAAAAAUGCUUCCCGUGAACCAAACGAGCCCCUAUAGUUUUUUAAGUUCUCUCAUUCAUUUGAAUUUUUUUAUAAAAAUUAUAUUAUAUGAUUUUUGUUUUCAAUUUUCUCACUCUUUUAAACUUAAUUUUUUAUUUACUCUUUAUUCAAUGCUCUAAGUACCAUUAUUUUUUUUAUUCUUAACACUUCAAUAUGGCAAGAUAUUUUAUUUUAUUUAUUCUCUAAUUUUUAUUUCAAUUCUUAAUAUUGGUGUUUUUGUUGUAGUUACAAUUACUAUUUUCUGUUAGAUUUCCUCCUCCCCCUACAUAGCGGGGCAUAUUGCUUGUAUUUAAUUAAUGCCGUGCCUGAUCCAUGAAACCAGGCAUUUAGUCAUCUAAACUCAAUUACAUGUUCAAAAUCAACUUCUAUUGCUAUCUGUUACAUCAUAUAUGCUUAUGCCUAGUGUCCACAUAACUUGAGCUGUUCUAGGAUUGAAACCACUUAAGCUGAACUUCUACCAUCAUGUCCAUCAAGAUGAUGGUUUUGCCUCACCUAGUCAUAUAUAAAAUGACGAUUUUAAGUGCUCUAACAAUUUCUAAUAGUACACUACUUGAUGCUCAAAACAGACACAUUAAACUAAAUAAUGACUAAGUAGAAGAAAAAGAGUUUUUACCACAAAAAAUUACCUUCCAAAGCCCAAGUGACUGGUGUUCUUGCAAAAGGAAACAAGUCACACAACAUUGAGCAAUGUCAUUUACUCAUAUGGAAUCUUCUAUUGGCUAACUCACUUAACCUAUGGGCAGCAUAAUGUAAUGAAACUAAAGGGCAAUAUACUUUCCAUUGGCUCAGUGCUAGUAGUAUUGCCAUUGACUGCACCUAUACUUCAAAUGUUACCUUGGUUUUCUCUAUGUUACUCAUGUUUUGCUUCUCUAGAUCCGUCCAAUUAACUUGAAUUCUCGAUUCAACAGCAUCUGAUGAUUCGCCCUUAAAGCAGUCAAUGCAGCUAAAAUUUUAGUUGCUAAGAGUAGUGGCAUUAUUCAUUUCAUUGCCAGAAGGGUUUUACCUGGCACCUUGAAAAUGAGAAGCUAAUUUAACACUUCAUCUGUUCUAACUAUAAGACCAUUUAGUUCUAAUGGCUUAUCUAAGAACUAAGACUAAUCUCAUUCACCAACUAUUCCUAUUAAGCACAAUCUUUUGCAGUGUUAAGCGACAUUAGCGAUUGGUGUCUAGAUUUCUCAAGGAAUUUCAACUGAGAAACUUCAAGAAAACUUACGUGGGCCAUAUUAAUAUCUUUUUUUUUCUAAACAUGCAAAGAUGUACGAUCAUAUAUAGUUAGUUGGCCCUAUAGUUCUCUAGUUUGAUAAAACUAUUAAUCACUUUGCAAAACGUUGAGUGAGAAUUAAUGACUUUCACAUAGAAGUAAUAACAUUGACAUGAAUGGUGAUGACAUGAUAGUUGGAUUGUUUGGUGCUAAGGACUAUGAUGAAGGGUUCAAGUGUCCAACAAAUCAAGAAACCCACAUUAAUAGUCCUCCAGUGUUACUAUAAGCAUUUUCUGAAUGCACUCUCGCUACUCGAACCAUGUAAGCAUAGGUAUUCCUCUCCUCAUUCUAGACCCUCUAAUAUGAAUUCAAGCAACUCUCCUUACGAAGACUCCUCAUAUUUUUGUUGUGCACACACAUACCAUCUCAUUUGGUUCUCUAUCACUUUGUCCUUAAUCAUGCAACCACACAGCACCUUUAAAUCACUGUUAUCCAGGCACUUUAAAAUCUGGGUUUUUGAAUGUGUCAGGUUGCAACGACAGCUAGAUUCUUCAUGAUACUUUUUGACAAGCACCGUGAAAGUAUUUUUCAAUCCUAAAAGGGCUCUAAUCUUGCUUAUUAUGUCUCUCAAGACUCUUCCAACAAACUUUGCUCAAGAAGGAACUCAUAAUCAACCUAAAACUCCAAGUACAUUCAAAACUUCAAAAAUAACAACCAAAAAGGUAAGUAAAGGCAUCAUAAUUUAGGAGUCAAAAGACCCUAAAUAUGACACCUAGGUACUUUCUAAUGACUCUUAAAGUUCUUUAAAAUGUUCGCUUAAGGAGUUUGGAGAGCAAGCAAGCUCUUUAGCUGGAUCAAAUCCAAAUUGUUGCAUGCUCUUGACACUAAUAUCUCAUGGACUUGAUCCUAAUGAAAUCUCGAGGGGUGUGAGAUCUGGGCUGUUUACUAACAUUCCCAAAUCAUAGCUUUAUGAGACCAAAGACAACAGAUGGUGAGAUCAUUAUCAAAGUAAGCCUAGGCAUUACUAUUAGCAUAGGCUGUACUCAUUUAGUAACAAGCAGAAAUCAUAUUCGAAGCGGCACACAAGAGAAAACCCCAUGAUAAGGAUGCGCGCCACAUAAAAGCAGCAUAGAAGGAGAAGUUUCCAUGUCCACAUUUUGCAUAGAGCAAUUCUUGUGGAAGAUAGUAAACAAUGGUUGGGGGCUGAUGUAUACAUAUCAAAACACACACGCACGCAUGCUUACAUGCAGCCAUGUUCAGCUUUACCAGAAAAGCAAAAAUUAUCAGUACUAGCUGAAAGGAAUCUAAAUAAGAAAAUUUUUUGGUGAUUCGGUUGAUCGAACAUUUGUUUGUUCCAGCACUCGUUUAUUUGUUCCUCAACCUUUUUCUUCUCUGAUUGAAGCUCAAUAUGCAAUUUCUAAUUAUUCUUCCAAAACAUAAUAUAAUUUCUACCUGCAAAGUACAAAUAAAUCUGAAUCCAAGAGGAAAGCUUCUUCAAUCGAAUCCAAAUCGGUUCCGACUAACCUUCACGGCCGGCUAAAGGUUUUCUAGUAGAACCUCACAAGAUUUGCCAAAAAGGUUUAAAAAAGAGCCCCAAAUAAAGAAUUUGAUGCAACACAGCAAUCUUGAAACGGUUCGAUAGAGAGGAAGAACUUACGGAAACAAUCCGGAUCAAAUAGAGAAAGAAGUCUAGAAAAAAGAUGACAGAGGGAAACAAUCCUGAUCAAAUAGAGAGGAAGGGCUUACGGAAGGCUGGGCAGAAGGAUCGGCGGGUCGGAGUUGGCUGAAGUUGUGAGGAUUGUAGGAGGGCCAGUCGCCAAGCAGAGACCCCAUCUGCGAUUCUUCAACGGCAGCACCCUUUAACUUCGCUCAGGCGAUAUAGGCCUUUUGAGAACUAAUGGGGCUUGGCACUGGGAGCAGAAACGAGGUCCUCUCUCUCUCUCUCUCGCUCGCUCGCUCGCUCGCUCGCGCUCGAGUUUUUAGUCCUUCUACUCGUCCUUUCGGCUUUCGCCCACAGAGGAGAAAACUCUCUCCCUCCAAGAACUCUUUUAUAAAGGGGAAAGAUGAGACCUGAGAGGGAAAGAAGGGACCAGAUGAAACUAAGGACAGCCAUGCGGUUUUCUCGUGAUUAGUUAUGGAUCUAUUUGCACCAAUUUUGAAGAACGGAGAAAGACUCACGCGGGCCUCACCCACGCUGUCUUUCCUGGAUGUCAUAUUAGUGGAUGGGUGUGAUCUUGCGUGUCCAAAAAGUGGUGCGUCAAAGUACGCACUUCUUCGUGUUUACCAUCACUCGGUCUUUUUAUUUUUUUUGUGAGAAAGAAUCAACCGUUCGAUCGCAUCUCGCACAGCUAUCGGAAUACUCCAACCUUCCUCUUCAUCCGCUGCACAAAUCUCGAAGCGGACUUUUCGGGAUCCAACGGUUUAUUUUGCCAAAUUAUUGGUGCAGCACUGGAUGGGUUAUUAUAUUUUUUUUUCCCAAGGGUUACCAUAAAACGCAGAAAAGCGUGAAAAGAAAUCAUUCAGCUGCCUUGCACCGGCGCACAUCGGCUUGCCAUUGUGAAUGAUGUGUCAAUAUUUUAUUAGAGCUCAAUGUCCUUGCUAUUAUAAAUGUCAAUAUUUUAUUAGAAGGCAAUCGAUUGGGGCAUAUAUAUUAAUUGAUGCUUUCGAGGUGUUUAUUAGAAUUAUUGCUCUCCAUAAAUUAUUCAUAAUGAAUCAUAUUUCUAAUGUAUCGCUUGGGUAUAUUUAAAUAUAGCUUUUCAGCCACGAACUGGGACAAAGGAAAUCCUGAUCAAAAUCAAGACCUUCAAGAAAAAUUCUAAAAUCCCUUUGUCCUGACUCUCACCGCUCCUCUAUAAAUUAAGAUUUAGUCUGAAGCACAAACGAUAACAGGGCAUUCAAAGGGUCGUGGCACAAAGAUAGCCCCAACUCCAUUAGUGGCUUGGCCUACGUUCAUUAAGAUGGAUAUUGUUCUUGAAAAGAAUUAACAUGGAUAGUGACCAUGGCACAUUGUUAGUUAAAGAACUUAUAACGCCUAAUUGGAUGUGGAAUGGAGAUUUGUUGGCUUCUUUGUUCUCAGUUGAUAUGAUGACACAGAUUUGCACUAUUCCUAUUGCACAGGGUCUUUGGUGUGAUCGUAGAAGUGUAUCCAAUUCUUAAGCAGCCAAAUGCAUCGUUUGUGAACACCUCCUUUAAAUGGAUUUGGAAGUCAGAUGUGCCAAUGAGAGUCAAAAACAUUUUGGUGGAAGCUAUUGUGGAGAAGGUUGCCUUGUAAGGAGCAGCUAUGUAUACUCUUCCCCUAGAGCAUCAGUUCUGUGAUCUAUGUACCACUGCGGUAGAGGAUUGCCAUCAUGUGAUGCUGAGAUGUUCCUUUGCAAAAGCCUGAUGGCAGCAACUCACUGUCAUAACUGGGGUCAGGUUUCACCCUAAUUCUUUGCCGGAAUUGGAGCAAGCUCUCUGCAACCAGGCAGAGAAAGGGUUGAGACACCUCAUGGCAUGUCUUGCCUGGUUCCUCUGGAGGGCCCGCAAUGAACAGAUAUUUCAACAUUCCUCUACAACUCCUAACCAAUUGGUGAUGAAAGCUAUAUAAGGCUCGUUUGGUUUGCGAAAAAAGAAGAGGAAAAAAUGGUCAACGAGAAAGUAAUAAAAUGCCUCUUGUUUAGUUGGAGUUUUCAAAAAAGAGAGACAGAAAAGUUGCAUUCCCAUGAGAAUAUGCUUCUCACAUUUCAUGGAAAAGUCUUUUCCAUGAAAAACAUGGAAAAGUUACUCUAUUUUUAUUUUUUUCCAAAAAAGCCCUUCAGCAUUAAAGAGUCAUUAAACAUCUAAUUUUUAUUAAGGGUAUAAUAGAAAUUAUACAUAAUUUUUCUAGGAAAAUGGAUGGUCAAUCAAACAUAAGCAAUUUGGAAAUUUGUCACUUUUCCAUGGUCAACCAAAUAUGCCAAAGAUAAUUUUCUAUGCAUCUUCUUCCUAGGAAUAUGCUUUCCAGGAAUCAUAAUGCUUUCCGCGAACCAAACGAGCCCAUAUUUAUUACCAAAUCAUGCUCAAUUUGGGGCACCAUGUUCAGCUGGAGAACCGAUCAUUGCACUGGAAAGCUUUUAACUCUUAUCAAGGAGCAACCAGGUCCCUCAAGCUUGUGCGUUGGCCUCCUCCUCCCAUGGGAGUUCUCAAACUGAAUUUCGUGUUGGAUAAAUUGAAAUAUUUAAAUAAAAGAGGGAGAGAGAAGAAAUGAGAGGAAUGGCCAUCGGAUGUGUACGGUCUCUUCUCAGAAAUAAAUUAAAUAAAAAGAAGAGAGAGGAAGGGCCAACGGAUGUUAUGGUUAUUUUUUCAAAAAAAAACUUUUUUUUUUUACAGUAUCUCUAUUGGGUAGACUUUAAUUUAAAAUUAAAGUGUCCUGACUUUACAAAUGUGCUUUUGCACGGUUCACUAUUAUGGGACAACUGAUGGUAUUAAACUUCAGUUUAAACUUAAGAGUCAUAUAUUUAUGGAUGGAAGAGUCAUGUAUUUAUAGAAAAAUCAGGUAUCCAUGAAAAAGUGUCUUUGCACCUAUUCUCUUGUGACCAAAAAUAGAAAUCUCUCCCUUUCCUUCUAACUUAAAACUUUUAUUUUUUCUUCUGGCUUCUAAAUAGUUUUCUAGAAGGUUUUUAAAUUUUUUUUCAGAAUUGCCAUUUGCAGAAUUCCAUGAAGCUUUAUUAUAUCCUAGGCAUGAUUUGCCAUAAACCCGCUAGCAAACUUAUUUGAGUAAAGAUAAAUAUCAUCUAAAAGAUAGUAAUUUAUAUGCCUCAAAGUCUUCAAUUUUUCUAUUAUUUUCUUCAUUUCAAAUCACUCUUCCCCAACAAUUCUAAGGUGAUAUUCGCGAUGGCUUCCAAGUCAAGUGCUACUUUUAAGUCAUGAAUCAAGACUUUGUCAAAUUGGAACAAUUUGAUGGAACAACUUUACUUGCUAAAAGGACAAGGUUGUUUCGCUGUGUGGUUGGAAUGGCAAUUUUGUUGUCACAAGACCAUCCACCUGGCACCUGGUGAGAACCUCAAUCAACUCUCAUGUCUUAAGAUGCAAAUAAAAUAAAAAAAAAAUAAAACUGCUAUAUAGAACCGAAAAGGAACAGAAAAUUCUGGUAUAGCUUUUCCAACUCCAGUAGGCAUGGUUAAUUCCCUAUAAGGCAGGAUAGGUCUUAAUUUGUGUGUAAAAAUUCAUAGUACCACAGGUCAACUGAAAAUGCGGUGGUUUUUUUUCAGAAAAACGAAUAUGCACCCGCCUCCUUUGAUUACCUCUUUGCUAGUCAAGAAUACCCUAAUGUAACAAUCAGUUGCCCAAAUAUUUAAAACUAAGCAUUGUUUCGCUCCAAUGUUUAUUAAAAUCAUAUUGUAACAUCUCCCCACUCUAUUUUUCUGCAUAAAGUUAAUACAAAAAUUGCAUAAUGUUUGAAAGAGGCAUUCCCAGAGUCCAACUUCGCCACAUUUUCCUGUGGACAACCAAUUAAUGUCUUCACCGAAGCUUUUUCUCCGCCAUGUUAUGAAUGAUUUUUGCUUGGUUUUUUGUUGCUUCAUGGGCACCUCAGCCAAUAAGGGAUAGGAAAUUAGAAAACUUAUUAUUACAUAACAGAUAGUUUUAUGUAUACUCAAUAAUCAAAAAAAUUGCUAGAAUAUGUGUUUGCAUGAGUGCAUGGGCACUAAGUUGCGCAACAAUACUGCAAAGGAAAUUAAGAGCGGAAAAGUCUUUAAGCCAGAGAGGAAUGCCCUUGGACCAGUUUGCAAACCGUAGAUUAGGUAUGAACAAUUUUAGAUUGCAGUUAAACAUUUGGAGCUUGUUUGGUUGGAAGGAGUUAGACUUUGAAAUGAAAUAAAAAUAAGUGACUUUCAAUCCAACCGUUUCGUUGAGAGGAGUUUCAUUUUCAUUCCGAUUCCAAAAGAAACGGAAAUACUCCAAUCCCUCCAAAACACAAUCCCUAUUCUCUCCUAGUAUUCAAAUUCCAUUCCAAUUUCAAUUCUGAUCACGAACCAAACACAUCGGAGGAUAUGGCCAUUCCUAUUUUUAUUCCAAUUCAUUCUGAUUUCAAUUCCAAUCACGAACAAAACACGCCCUAGAUAUGAUUCCUAUUCCACUGUCCUCUUCAUGUAAGUAGGCCUCGAAUGUAAAAAAAGAUCAACUAAUCCUACAAAAAUAGUCACUUCCUCUAUUGAAAUGAGUGAAAUAUACAUAUGUAAAAUAAUUAGUUUCGUGCUUCACCAUCCCUUGAGAUCAGAGAGAGGAGCAAGAGAGAGAGAGAGAGAAAAAGAUGAAUGUGGCUAUUGUUUAUGAUGGUUACAUAUUAUACAUUCAUGCUACACACACAUUAUAUAUAUAUAUAGGGCAUAAAAAUUAUAUAAUUUACCGAUCAUUGAUUAACCAAUAUGUUCUUCAACUUGAUUUAUGAACCUUUCUGCAUCCAACCACCAUUCACAAUCUUCACCCAUGUCCUCCUGCCAAACAGAGCGGAUAGGUUAUGUUGAAUUUUGCCAAAAGAUAAUACAAUUUUCUCACAGAUUUGUACGCUCGAGGAAGAUAAUAUCAACUGAAUCCCAUAUGAGUAAGAAUCUAGCUUGUCAAUAGAAAGCCUUACUUGUUGGUUGCAUCUAUAAGGUCAUGCAACCAACAAGAGUGCUAUAGAUCAGACCGGAUUUCAAUUGUGUUGACUCAUGUUGAUGGCACAAAAGAUGGAGCGGAUUCUGCUCACGUGUUGUACAUUAUGGUCAAGUAUCUUAGAAUGGCAUGCAAUAAGAUUCACUAGCAAGCAUUAUAUUUCUGAAACAGAACAAUGGAGUAUACUAGCAACAUUAAAAAACACAAUGAACAAAAAUAAUACAACACAGAACGACAUUUAUCUACAUUUGAAAUUCUUUCCCAUUUAGUGCCCUUUCUCUGUAAUUGGGGUUUGUCUGUGGCUGGAAAUGUUCUAACCUAAUCCGACCCACCUGUGGCUAAACAGUCCUUGUCAAGUCCAAAUGGCAUUCUAGUAUAGAGCAAAACUGCGAUUUAUCAUACUUGCAAAUUAUGAAGAACAUACAUGUGGUUUUUCUGGGGUAGCACAUACUGAAUGAAACUAAACCUAUUUCAUUAUUUUCAAUCAAGACAAGCCCACAUUGUUGCAUGCAAAUUUAGGUCAAUUUUUCUGGAGACCGCAUUCUUAAUGUAAAAUUGUUCUUAAAUGUUCAAGUAUGGAUGCAUGACUCAAUGACUACUAUAAACUGCUAAGAAUGAGCAUAACUAUUAUGUGUUAUAUGAAGCCAGAUCAGCUAGUUUUUUAGUAGCGCAUCAGAUUUUCAAAAUUGUAACAACAGUGGUCUGAUAAAGGAUCAAUAAACCAUGAAGGAAUAGCUUCUGAGAACUGUGCUUGAUUCAUGUUCUGACAUCACCUGCAGGUUCGGAAAGCUUUAAUUUUCAAAAUAAGUCAUUGCACCAAACAGUGUCUAUUUGCAUUAUGAACUCCUUCGGACUUUGUUGAAUAUUUUUAGCAUACCAUCUCUUGUAAUCUAUUAUAGAAACACAUUAAAACACCCACUAUUUUUCCGAAGUUUGCCACUCCUUCCAUUGCAGUCCAAGCAGACAGAACUUAGAUCUUAUUGAUCCCCAUAUUCGAUCCAAACUUCUACAGACAAUAAAUGCGUAAACAAUAAACUUGAUCAUCUUUGAUGUUCUAGCGCUUCUUCAGUAUUUUUUUAAAAAAAACAGAAAAACACUGAUAAGGUGAAGAAAAAUGUAAUGCUACGACUGCAAAGCUUGAAUAAAGCAACUAUAUAUCUGGAAAGAAAAGUUGCAUGCUUCAGUGCAAACGUGCUUUGUGUCCAGCAGUGUGAACCAAGUAGCCAUAUGCAGAUUACUCUUUGAUGCUAUGCAAAUUAUAGUUAGCUGAGCAAAUAAAUUUUUAACUGGACCCAAACCAGUAAAGGAAUACCAAAUGUGACAUUACAACUUGCCCCAGAUGUCACUGCCAAGAACCAUCAGAGCUUCAAACUAUAUGUUGCUAGAAUGUAAAAUUUUGGUAAAAGAUGCGAAAUCACAAAAAAAACACAUAAUGAAUUGGCAUACUCACCAAUUUGCUUAACUCAGCUGCAUUUCUCAUUUUCUCAAUGCAGUCAGCAUAUCUCAUGGCUUCUUGCCACCAGCUGCUGUCCUUCUUGCAGCUGUCAGUAAUCCACUUACCAUUAUCACACGAAUUGCUUUCCGUGUUAUUUCCAUCAAACUGAGUAUUGAAACCUAUGUCCAUAAUCUCCCUACAAUUUUCUGUAUUUACUGAACUGAAUAGUGCCUUGCUGUCAGGAAUCACAUCCCAUGGUACAGGACGCAAUGGAGAACGGUAUCCUAGUGCAAAAUCAUUUUGUUGGGAACAUAUAAAAGACAUCACAAACUUAGAAGGUAAAUUUAUAUAUGAACCAUCAGUAAAUUGAGCUAGUAUCAUCUGCAUACCUCUACAAUCAGGGUCAUAGCAUUUCUGGUAAUAGCCAGCCCUUUGAAAAUCAAUGAUGUACAUGACUGAACUAGCAAAAUAAUUAGGUAUUGUUUGUUAAUGCAUAUAAUAAAGCAUAAAAAAAUGAAUAGAGAAGCAUCUAGUGACCCAUGAAACUUAAUCAAGAAGCCCAUUUGCACUAACUUGGCAAUUGGCAUAUCUCAUGAAUUAUAAAUAGAGUAAAAUAAACGAAAGUACAAUCAACAAAUACUUCAAAAUACAAGAAAAUGAAUGCAGAAACGUAAAGAAUGACUAAGAAAAAUAGUAGCACUUUAUCUUAUGGACUUCCUACAUGCACAACUAUAUGAUCAUAUAAGAGAGCAUUUCCUCGAGAGCUGGUCUGUUUUGCAUAAAAGCAACACUGCCCAAGGCCAGUCCCAAGCCUCGAGGGAAAAAGUGGAAGAUUAAUAUCAGGUUGAGAAAUAGUUGCAAAAAGCACGUCAAACUAUGAAAAGGAUCCAACUUAAGACAUCAUGAGUAUUAGGAAGUCCUUGAUAUAUGUAGCACGCAAUAAUCUUGUAACAACUCAAGACCUCACCCAAAAUGGCUAGUCGGAAGAUAUUAUUUGGGUUCCUUGAUCCUGUACAAGUAUCCAAGAUCUACCCAGCGAAUAACCAAUGUGAGACUAAACACACGCCCACACGGGUCCUUACAUACUCCCCCUGUUCAAGCCUUGACGUCCUCAUCAGGCUAAGGGUUCAAAUUCAUUCAAAUCUAAUCACAAACACCACGAUCGGAUUCAUUCAAUGAAUCCGUGCUGCAGUAUCCCCUAGCCUGCAUAGGUUAUAGGCCAGAUCCGCUCUGAUNNNNNNNNNNNNNNNNNNNNNNNNNNNNNNNNNNNNNNNNNNNNNNNNNNNNNNNNNNNNNNNNNNNNNNNNNNNNNNNNNNNNNNNNNNNNNNNNNNNNNNNNNNNNNNNNNNNNNNNNNNNNNNNNNNNNNNNNNNNNNNNNNNNNNNNNNNNNNNNNNNNNNNNNNNNNNNNNNNNNNNNNNNNNNNNNNNNNNNNNNNNNNNNNNNNNNNNNNNNNNNNNNNNNNNNNNNNNGGAUCCGUGUUGCAGUGUCCCCUGGCCCACAUAGGUUAUGGGCUGGAUUCGCUCUGAGACCAUUUGUCACAACCCAGGACCUCACCUAAAAUGGCUAGCCGGAAGGUAUUAUUUGGAUUUCUUGAUCAUGUAUAAGUACCCAAGAUCUAUCCAGCGAAUAACCGAUCUGGAACUAAACACACGCCUGCACGGGUCCUCACAAAUCUAGUCCAAUUAUAGCACAAAACGAGCAAGGGUUCACUAAGUCAUCACUUGUAAAUGACACACUGUAGCAUGACCCAACUGAUGAAAAAUGAGCAAGUAGCAAGGUCAUCACCUAUAAUCGAUGUGCCAACUCAGUUGUGAUGAGAGAUGGGAGAGACAUUUAUAGGCUUAAGGUCUCUCUUAGAACUAAUGCGGCAUAAUUAUUAGAUGGUACGAGAACAAGGUAAUCACCUCGAUUGAGGAGAAUGCGAAGAAGCUAAAUGUUCAAAUGAUUUUGGUUGUCAUUUCCAUUUCAGUUGGAGAAUGCAGUCCAAUGUUUGGGGUACUAGAAGAACGUUUAACUUGCUACUUAGAAUGCUAGAAUUUUGACAGGAAAGAGUUGAGAGCUUGCGGACAUGAUGGGAUGAAGGGGAAUCAAUAUUGGUUGUUUAUAAGAAAGAAAAUUUAAGGUUGAAUGUCCAAGGACAUAGGCCAUGGUCAUGAAAUUUAAAAUUUGGGAAAUGAUGAUUUUAAAAAAAAUAAAACCAAGGUAGUGGUGGUCAAAGAAAUGAUGGAUAAAGGCAUAGAUGCUAAAAAUAAAUAAAUACCAGACAAAUAGCUAUUAAGAUAGUUUUUGAUGGAGAGGUUAUUGUAGUAAUCAAUGUGCAUGCACCAAAAGUAGGUUUAGCAAAAAGAAUGACAUAGCAUUUCUGGGACAAGAAUGAAAUGUGAGAUAUAUUAGAGGGAGAGGAUGAUGUAGAGAAUGAAUUGAAAAGGCAUGUAGGGAAGAUUGGUACAGCAUAUGAGAGGGUACAUGGUGGAUGUACGUUUUCUUAUAUAAAUAUAAUGGGAUACUUGAUUCUUCAGUUCACAAUGGCUUAUGGUCAAGAAAUUGUCAAUACAUAUUUAAGAAAAUAAACAAACAUUUACUUGUUUUUACAAUAGAUUAAAUUUGUCACUACUAUAUUAUGUUUUCCAAUGAAGAAGGGAUACAUUAUCUUGCAAAUAUUGCAAAGUAAUGCUAGAAUAAAGCUGAAAACACAGAAUAAUAUAGUAUUUUUGGAUAUCCAUAUCAGUUGUAUGAAGAGAAGAAAUGGAUCUAAUAAAAUUCCAAUGAUAGUGGGAUUUAAAAGGGAAGUUGCCGUAACUUUUAGGAUGAAUUAUUUAAGGAAAUCUCAACUUAAGAACUAAACCAAAAAAAAUGUGAGAAAUGUGGCUGAUUAUAUUAUGAAAGCAGCAAGAGAAGUUAAAGGGAGUAGAAUGGGAAAAAUUAUGCACAUAAAGAAACCUGACAGAUGACUGGUCAGAUAGAAGCAGCAAUUCAGUAAAGAAGGUUUGCUUUAUACCAUGGCAAUGAUGAAUGAUAUCAAGGGCUUUGAAAGAUAUAAGAACAUAGAGAAAGAUGGGAAAAACUAACAAAGUCUAAAUAUGUAGCAUAUGAUAAUUUAAAUCAUUGGUUAGGUUAGGUUAGGUUAGGUUUAGGAAGUGAGAAUGAUAUUUAUAAGUAGCUAAAAUGAGAGAGAAAUCUAAAGAUAUGGAUCAAGUUAUAUGGAUUAUGAAGGAAUAAAAAAGAUAAAAAACAAUUUCAAUAAAAUAAAAAAAGAUAAAAAGCUAUUUCAAUAAACCAUUAGAUGAAAGUGUUAAAUAAAUGAUGAUUCUACAAGAGAAAUUUGUACAUAAAAGGCAUGGUUAUAGAGUUAUCGAGUUCCUAUUUGUACAAUUUAUAAAGUUGAAGUGGAGAUAACUUUGAAAAGGAUGCAAAAGAUUAUUGUAAUAGGAAAAUCUAAGAUGUUGAUUUUGUUUUGAAAACAAAAGAGAAAUUAGGUUAAUUUGCUGUACUAAUUUAAUGAGGCUUUGAAAACUAAGAAGUUGCUAGGUGACUAGUGGUGUUGCGGUACCACCUAUGAGUGAAGUUGCAUAAAACUGCUCCAAUUAUUGUGUCACAAAAUUAUAUGACGCUUCAUUAAGAUUAAGAAAAUCUAUGCCAAUCCCAAAAAAUCUUAAUAUCUUAUGCUAGAGAAAUCAACAAUGGAGAUUAUCUUUUUCACUUAGAAUAUUGAUAAAAAAUAUAGAGAGAAAAGGAAAAAGGUCUAAAUAUUGCCUUCAUCAACAUAAAGAAAGCUAACGGUAAGGUAUUAAGAAUUUCAUGGGAUUUAAAGAGGAAGUUGUGCACAAAUGUUUCAUUGAAGUUAUUGUCAUGCCUGCUGGAGCAAUGGUAGGAAUUACUUGUUAUAUCACAACAAUUGUAUAUUCCAAUCACAAAGGUCUAGCAUUAAGUAUAAAUAUUAAGAUUCUAUCUUUUCAUUCUAAUUAUAGGUGAUUCACUGCACAUAUAUAGGAAGAUGUACGAUGGUUUUAUACCAAGGAACGAAAAAAGGAGGAUCAAACCUGCAUUGACGAAGGGUGGGUACGGUAAGAGCCAAACUGAAAAUUGUACUGAUGAUGGGCUUCAAUGGGUAUUCAUAGGUACACCCCAAAAUUCAUGAUAUGGCUUUUUUGUCUUCCACACUCCAGUUUAGGGUUUCUUAACAAGUUUUUUUUUUUUGACUUGGACUAUUUUUGCAAGGAAGAAGGCAGGAGUAUUGAGUUAACUAUCCUAGCUAUAGUUUCUUGUGCCUGUUGAAGUAAAAAACAUGCAUAAUUAUCACAUCAAUAACAUAUUAUACACUAUCCAAAUACACAUAUAAUUUUUUAUAUUAGGAUUUUAGAUUUUUUUAAGACGAGGUAGAAGCACAAGUUCACUGCACACACCUACUUCAUGUGCACAGAUGUUUCACUUCGUCUUUUGAAGAUUUAAUUCUCAAUUUUAACAACAUAUAUUUUCAAUUAAUUAAAUAUAAAGGUUAAAAAAUAUAUUUUUUAAAAUGCAUAACCUAUCCAAGAAAUCAACAUAUAAUUAUAAUUUCUAAGGAAUUUAUAAAUAACUAAUUCAUAAAAUUUCUAAAUUUGAAAACACAAAACAAAAUUCAGUAACCCAGAAAAUCGCAUAUAAUUAGCUAGCAUAUGAUGCAUAAUUCUUUUCAAAAUUAUAACAAUUUGAAUAUUUUAAAAUAAUAAAUUCAGAAAUUAAUUUAAAACAUUUACAUAAUCAAAAAAAUAUCCUUAUGUAGGGAAUUUGUAGAUCAGCCCAACAUAUACAUCAUAUAAAAAUAUCAACUUGAACAAAAGUGUCUUUGUCGGGUUAUUUUUGAAUUCAUUUAAUUUAUGGGCUUGAUCUCUAGCGGAGCCUGAACAGCUAAACUGACUCCAUUGUUGGUAUAUGAAAUUACAGGUGCAAAGAUGCUACCAAUAUUUUUCCAAGCUUUACAUAUUAUUUUUAAAAUUAUUUUUCAGUAAAAUUGAUUUUUAAAAUAAAUGACAGUAGAGGAUAUAAUUCACUGGGAUUAUACCUACAUCAUAUCUGGAAACCAACUCAAACA
rnacentral:lncRNA from 1 species